rnacentral:lncRNA from 1 species
UCUCAGGAUCUCAUUGCAACCCAUGCCGUGUAGGAAAAAGCAAAGCAGUAAUAGUAUCUUCAACAUAUUUCACUAUGUAUUUUGGGGUGCUUUCUGAUUAUCUGAUUUUUAUAUAACUUUUGAGCAUAUAUUACCAAGGGAAAUGGAAACUGCACCUGAUUUUCCUUUUCAGCAUCGUGCCUUUCUUUAGUAAGAUGAGAAGCUAAUGAUCUAAAUAAACAAUAGGAAAUCUGACUCCCUGCACAUUUGGUUCUUUGCAGCCUUGUUUCAGAUUAUCAGGACGGCUACUAGUGGUGGGAUGGCUUAAUAUCGAGCUAAAAACAAGACUAUCAUGAUCAGAGAUUUAUUAUCCAUGUGUUUGGGAGGCAAUAUCAUAUGUACCCUGUAGCAAACUUGCCCCUGAUGAUGUUAUGUAGAGAUUUAAAUCUUGUGCAGUCGUGUUUACCUCCUGUUACUAAGAACCUAGUCUAAACUAGAAACAAAAUGGUGCAAGUUGAAACUUUAAAAUUAUAUAAAACUUCAAAUAUGCAAGUUAAUAUUUUUUUUCUUUCUCUGUGAUGACACUUAGAAUAUCGGUAACUGGUACCAUAUCGGUUGGGUGUUGAGUAGAGAUUAAUCGGUGAAUCGGUCAUUUAACUGAAUUUAUCGGUAACCCAUUUAUGAAAGGUUAACUAGGGUCAUACAUGUAUGUCCUAGGCUAUUUAGCAGCAUGUAAUGUACUAAGUGUCUAAAUGUGCAAGCAACAAACAAAAUUGUUGGAUUGAUGUUCUGAUGAUGCUGCAGCAGAUCUGGAAGGCCAUAAACCUACACAUUGAAAAGCAGGUACGAAGGGGCCAGUUUUUGGGUUGGAAAAUGCCUAGCAGUUAAUUGGCCUAGCUAAAAAUUCGGCCUGACAAUGGAUAAUUCGGCUUGUUAGACAAAUUGACUGUACAUACCAGUUAAUGACUCGAAUAACAUGUUCUCAUAUAGGGAGGUGUCCGAAUGGCAGUACCUUGAGGAUUCAUAAGGCGCCUUUAUUUUAUUAGCGUCUACACCUCCCCAAUCCAAGCUCAUGACUCUACUCUAUUUUUUUUUCGAAACGGAAGCUCAUGACUCUACUCUAGUGUCUGCGUGCUUUGACGUUGCUGCACACAUCCUUCCCUCCAUGUUGGUCCUAGUUCCUAUCGCACCUCAUGACCUCAAUCAUGACUUGUAGCAUCUGGCACAUGAGACAAGUAUCUCUAAGAAACUACGCAAAAUACUCUGAGAGAAGAGGGCCCACCUCAUAAAAGGGAGUCUUUUUUUUAAGGACAAGCACGUCGCCCCCACGAUGGCUGCCGCCUGCUGGCCCGCUGAUGCCGGCUUCGGUCCUCCAACGGCCUGCCUCGCGUGGCUCCGGCCAGCCUCGCCCACCACCUUUGGCCGCCCCAACUUGCCCGCGCGCCUUGCCCUCCCGGCCCCGCAUCCCCGCGCCCCCGAGAUUCCAUCUGGUGCCUUUCGGGUGUCCUCCGGCGGCUGCAUGGACUUGCGGGCGGCGGAUCCGGCGCUCCUGGCCGUUGCCAUGGGCGCCCCUUGUAGCCUCCCCCCUUCCCCCCGGUUGCGCGACCCACCCUGCUAGUUGUGCCGGCGGCCAUGGGCGGGGCGUGGGACCUGCGUGUGGAGGCGGCAGCGUUCGCGGCCCGCCUUCCUUGCAGGCAGGCCCCCCUCGUCUCCGGCGGCCCUCCCUUCCCUCAAGCCAUGGUGACAGCUCUCGCGUGGAGGCAGUGAUGCUUCUGUGGUGUGGCAGAUACGGGGCUCCUCGUGGUGGAUCAUUGCUGGUGCUGUUCCGGCCUCGGCGGCCUCAGGCCCGUGUCUCUCCGUUGUCUCGCGUUGUCGGCGUCCUGCUGGGCAGCCCCGGCCUCGGCGACCGUGUAGCUACGUCCCUCCAGCUUACCUGGCUUGUCGACGUCCCGAUAGCUAAGGCUACGACAACACCGAUCUGUGUCCCUCCAGUCCUUGUUUGCCGGCGUUGCUGGACGCCGCCGCCCUAGACCCACCGCGUGGUUCGCUUCAUCGCCUGCCCCGCCCCGUAUGCCUCAAAGCCUCCUCCUUUUGCCAGAUCCAGUGCUCGUGGAUCCAGGGGCAGUGCCACCCUUCGACGACAAGUGCAGCCCCGCCAACCCUCUCCCGACAUGGUGGUUCCGACCAACUUUGGCUUCCUCAUCUUCGAUUCCAGACUCGGCGACUAUGGGAUUGCUCAGCUUCAGGCUAGGGAGAGAUAUCCCUGCUCGGCUUGCCGAUGCUGACAGCGGCGGCACCCGUGAGUGUUGUUUUCUUCUUGGAGACGUUGCCAAGGCCUUCAGCUGCGCCCCUCUUGUUGGGGAACGUAGUAAUUUCAAAAAAAUUCCUACGCACACGUAAGAUCAUGGUGAUGGUAUAACAACGAGAGGGGAGAGUAUUGUCCACGUACCCUCGUAGACCGUAAGCGGAAGCGUUAUGACAACGCGGUUGAUGUAGUCGUACGUCUUCACGAUCCGACCGAUCCAAGUACCGAACGUACGGCACCUCCGAGUUCAGCACACGUUCAGCUCGAUGACGAUACCCGGGCUCCGAUCCAGCAAAGCUUCGGGGAUGAGUUCCGUCAGCACGAUGGCGUGGUGACGAUGAUGAUGCUCUACCGGCGCAGGGCUUUGCCUAAACUCCGCGACGAUAUGACCGAGGUGGAAUAUGGUGGAGGGGGGGACCGCACACGGCUAAGGAACGAUCCGUAGAUCAACUUGUGUGUUAUGGGGUGCCCCCCUGCCCCCGUAUAUAAAGGAGCAAGGGGGGAGGGGGCGGCCGGCCUAGGAGGAGGCGCGCCAAGGGGAGUCCUACUCCCACAGGGAGUAGGACUCCCUCCUUCCUUGUUGGAGUAGGAGAAGGGGAAAGAGGGGGAGAGGAAGAAGGAAAAGGGGGCUGCGCCCCUUGUCCAAUUCGGACCAGAGGGGGGGCGCAGGCCUCCUUCCUUUUGGCCUCUCUCCUCUAUUCCUGUAUGGCCCAAUAAGGCCCAUAUACUCCCCGGCGAAUUCCCGUAACUCUCCAGUACUCCAAAAAAUACCCGAAUCACUCGGAACCUUUUCGAACUCCGAAUAUAGUCGUCCAAUAUAUCGAUCUUUACGUCUCGACCAUUUCGAGACUCCUCGUCAUGUCCCCAAUCUCAUCCGGGACUCCAAACUCCUUCGGUACAUCAAAACUCAUAAACUCAUAAUAAAACUGUCAUCGAAACCUUAAGCGUGCGGACCCUACGGGUUCGAGAACUAUGUAGACAUGACCUAGAACUAUUCUCGGUCAAUAACCAAUAGCGGAACCUGGAUGCUCAUAUUGGCUCCUACAUAUUCUAUGAAGAUCUUUAUCGGUCAAACCGCAUAACAACAUACGUUGUUCCCUUUAUCAUCGGUAUGUUACUUGCCCGAGAUUCGAUCGUCGGUAUCCAAUACCUAGUUCAAUCUCGUUACCGGCAAGUCUCUUUACUCGUUACGUAAUGCAUGAUUUCGUAACUAACUCAUUACUCACAUUGCUUGCAAGGCUUAUAGUGAUGUGCAUUACCGAGAGGGUCCAGAGAUACCUCUCCGACAAUCGGAGUGACAAAACCUAAUCUCGAAAUAUGCCAACCCAACAUGUACCUUUGGAGACACCUGUAGUACUCCUUUAUAAUCACCCAGUUACGUUGUGACGUUUGGUAGCACCCAAAGUGUUCCUCCGGUAAACGGGAGUUGCAUAAUCUCAUAGUUACAAGAACAUGUAUAAGUCAUAAAGAAAGCAAUAGCAACAUACUAAACGAUCAAGUGCUAGGCUAAUGGAAUGGGUCAUGUCAAUCACAUCAUUCUCCUAAUGAUGUGAUCCCAGUAAUCAAAUGACAACUCAUGUCUAUGGUUAGGAAACUUAACCAUCUUUGAUUAACGAGCUAGUCAAGUAGAGGCAUACUAGUGACACUAUGUUUGUCUAUGUAUUCACACAUGUAUUAUGUUUACGGUUAAUACAAUUCUAGCAUGAAUAAUAAACAUUUAUCAUGAUAUAAGGAAAUAAACAAUAACUUUAUUAUUGCCUCUAGGGCAUAUUUCCUUCAGUCUCUCACUUGCACUAGAGUCAAUAAUCUAGUUCACAUCGCCAUGUGAUUUAACACCAAUAUUCAUAUCUGUAUAUGAUUAACACCCAUAGUUCACAUCGUCAUGUGACCAACACCCAAAGGGUUUACUAGAGUCAAUAAUCUAGUUCACAUCGCUAUGUGAUUAACACCCAAAGAAUACUAAGGUGUGAUCAUGUUUUGCUCGUGAGAGAAGCUUAGUCAACGGGUCUGUCACAUUCAGAGCCAUAUGUAUUUUGCAAAAUAUUCUAUGUCCACAAUGCUCUGCAUGGAGCUACUCUAGCUAAUUGCUUCCACUUUCAAUAUGUAUCCAGAUUAAGACUUAAAGUCAUCUGGACCAGUGCCAAAAUUUACAUCGACGUAACCCUUUACGACGAACCUUUUUGUCACCUCCAUAAUCGAGAAAUAUAUCCUUAUUCCACUAAGGAUAAUUUUGACCAAUGUCCAGUGAUCUACUCUUAGAUCAAAAUUGUAUUCCUUUGCAAAACUCAGAGCAAGGUAUACAAUAUGUCUGGUUGACAACAUAGCAUACUUUAUAGAACCUAUGACUGAGGCAUAGGGAAUGACUUUUCAUUCUCUUUCUAUUUUUUGCCAUGGUCGGGUCUUGAGUCUUACUCAACUUCACACCUUGCAACACAGGCAAGAACUCCUUCUUUGACUGUUCCAUUUUGAACUAUUUCAAAAAUUUAUCAAGGUAUGUACUCAUUGAAAAAUCUUAUCAAGCGUCUUGAUCUAUCUAUAUAGAUCUUGAUGCUCAAUGUGUAAGCAGCUUCACCGAGAUCUUGCUUUGAAAAACUCUUAUUCAAGUAUCCUUUCAUGCUAUCCAGAAUUUCCAUAUCAUUUCCAAUUAACAAUAUGUCAUCCACAUAUAAUUUUAGAAAUGCUACAGAGCUCCCACUCACUUUCUUGUAAAUACAGGCCUUUCCAAAAGUCUGUAUAAAACCAUAUGCUUUGAUCAACACAUCAAAGCGUAUAUUCCAACUCCGAGAUGCUUGCACCAGUCCAUUGAUGGAUCGCUGGAGCUUGCACAUUUUGUUAGCACCUUUCGGAUCGACAAAACCUUCUGGUUGUAUCAUAUACAACUCUCCUUUAAGAAAACCAUUAAGGAAUGCAGUUUUGACAUCCAUUUGCCAGAUUUCAUAAAAUGUGGCAAUUGCUAACAUGAUUCAGACAAACUUAAGCAUCGAUACGAGUGAGAAAAUCUAAUCGUAUUCAACAUCUUGAACUUGUCGAAAACCUUUCGCAACAAGUCGAGCUUAGUAGAUAGUAACACUACUAUCAGUGUCCGUCUUCCUUUUGAAGAUCCAUUUAUUUAACAUGGCUUGCUGAUCAUCGAGCAAGUCAAUCAAAGUCCAUACUUUGUUCUCAUACAUGGAUCGUAUUUCAGAUUUUAUGGCCUCAAGCCAUUUCGCGGAAUCUGGGCUCAUCAUCGCUUCCUCAUAGUUCGUAGGUUCAUCAUGGUCAAGUAACAUGACUUCCAAAAUAGGAUUACCGUAUCACUCUGGUGCGGAUCUUAUUCUGGUAGACCUACGAGGUUUUUGUAGUAACUUGAUCUGAAGUUUCAUGAUCAUCAUCAUUAGCUUCCUCACUAAUUGGUGUAGGAAUCACUGGAACUGAUUUCUGUGAUUAACUACUUUCCAAUUCGGGAGAAGGUACAAAUUACCUCAUCAAGCUCUUACUUUCCUCCCACUCACUUCUUUUGAGAGAAACUCCUUCUCUAGAAAGGAUCCAUUCUUAGCAACAAAUGUUUUGACUUUGGAUCUGUGAUAGAAGGAGUACCCAAUAGUUUCCUUUGGGUAUUCUAUGAAGACGCACUUCUCCGAUUUGGGUUCGAGCUUAUCAGGUUGAAAACCUUUUUCAUAUAAGGAUCGCAACUCCAAACUUUAAGAAACGACAGCUUAGGUUUACUGUUAAACCAUAGUUCAUACGGUGUCGUCUCAACGGAUUUAGAUGGUGCCAUAUUAAACGUGAAUGCAGCUGUCUCUGAUGCAUAACCCCAAAACGAUAGUGGUAAAUCGAUAAGAGACAUCAUAGAUCGCACCAUAUCCAAUAAAGUGCGGUUACGACGUUCGGACACACCAUAACAUUGUGGUGUUCCAGGUGGCGUGAGCUGUGAAACUAUUCCACAUUGUUUUAAUUGAAGACCAAACUCGUAACUCAAAUAUUCGUCUCCGCGAUCAGAUCGCAGAAACAUUAUUUUCUUAUUACGAUGAUUUUCUACUUCACUCUGAAAUUCUUUGAACUUUUCAAAUGUUUCAGACUUGUGCUUCAUUAAGUAGAUAUACUCAUAUCUGCUCAAAUCAUCUUGUAAAGGUCAGAAAAUAAUGAUACCCGCCACGAGCAUCAACACUCAUUGGACCGCAUACAUCGGUAUGUAUUAUUUCCAAUAAGUCACUAGCUCGUUCCAUUGUUCCGGAGAACGGAGUUUUAGUCAUCUUGCCCAAAAGGCACGGUUCGCAAGCAUCAAAUGAUUCAUAACCAAGUGAUUCUGAAAAUCCAUCUUUAUGGAGUUUCUUCAUGCGCUUUACACCGAUAUGACCCAAACGGCAGUGCCACAAAUAAGUUGCACUAUCAUUAUUAACUUUGCAUCUUUUGGCAUCAAUAUUAUGAAUAUGUGUAUCACUACGUUUGAGAUCCAACAAACUAUUUUCAUUGGGUGUAUGACCAUUGAAGGUUUUAUUCAUGUAAACAGAACAACAAUUAUUCCCUGACUUUAAAUGAAUAACCGUAUUGCAAUAAACAUGAUCAAAUCAUAUUCAUGCUCAACGCAAACGCUAAAUAACAUUUAUUUAGGUUUAACACUUAUCCCAAAAGUUUAGGGAGUGUGCGAUGAUGAUCAUAUCAAUCUUGGAACUACUUCCAACACUCAUCGUCACUUCCCCUUCAACUAGUCUCUGUUUAUUCUGUAACUCCUGUUUUGAGUUACUAAUCUUAGCAACUGAACAAGUAUCAAAUACUCAGGGGCUACUAUAAACACUAGUAAGGCACACAUCAAUAACAUGUAUAUCAAAUAUACCCUUGUUCACUUUGCCAUCCUUCUUAUCCACCAAAUAUUUAGGGCAUUUCCGCUUCCAGUGACCAUUUCCUUUGCAGUGUAAGCACUCAGUUUCAGGUUUUGGUCCAGUUUUGGUCUUCUUCACGGGAGUGACAACUUGUUUGCCAUUCUACUUGAAGUUUCCCUUUCUUUCCCUUUGCCCUUUUCUUGAAACUAGUGGUCUUGUCAAUCAUCAACACUUGAUGCUCUUUCUUGAUUUCUACCUUCGUCGAUUUCAACAUCACGAAGAGCUUGGGAAUUGUUUUCUUCAUCCCUUGCAUUAUAGUUCAUCACGAAGUUCCACUAACUUGGUGAUGGUGACUAGAGAACUCUGCCAAUCACUAUCUUAUCUGGAAGAUUAACUCCCACUUGAUUCAAGCGAUUGUAGUACUCAGACAAUCUAAGCACUUGCUCACUAGUUGAGCGAUUCUCCUCCAUCUUUUAGCUAUAGAACUUGUUGGAGACUUCAUAUCUCUCAACUCGGGUAUUUGCUUGAAAUAUUAACUUCAACACCUGGAACAUCUUAUAUGGUCCAUGACGUUCAAAACGUCUUUGAAGUCCCGAUUCUAAGCCGUUAAGCAUGGUGCACUAAACUAUCAAGUAGUCAUCAUAUUGAGCUAGCCAGACGUUCAUAACAUCUGCAUCUGCUCCUGCAAUAGGUCUGUCACCUAGCGGUGCAUUAAGGAAAUAAUUCUUCUAUGCAGCAAUGAGGAUAAACCUCUGAUCACGGAUCAAAUCCGCAUCAUUGCUACUAACAUUUUUCAACACAAUUUUCUCUAGGAACAUAUCAAAAUAAACAUAUGAAAACAACAACGCGAGCUAUUGAUCUACAACAUAAUUUGCAAAAUACUGCCAGGACUAAGUUCAUGAUAAAUUUAAGUUCAAUUAACCAUAUUACUUAAGAACUCCCACUUAGAUAGACAUCCCUCUAAUCCUCUAAGUGAUCACUUGAUCCAAAUCAACUAAACCAUGUCCGAUCAUCACGUGAGAUGGAGUAGUUUUCAAUGGUGAACAUCACUAUGUUGAUCAUAUCUACUAUAUGAUUCACGCUCGACCUUUCGGUCUCCGUGUUCCGAGGCCAUAUCUGUAUAUGCUAGGCUCGUCAAGUUUAACCUGAGUAUUCCGCGUGUGCAACUGUUUUGCACCCGUUGUAUUUGAACGUAGAGCCUAUCACACCCGAUCAUCACGUGGUGUCUCAGCACGAAGAACUUUCGCAAUGGUGCAUACUCAGGGAGAACACUUCUUGAUAAUUAGUGAGAGAUCAUCUUAAAAUGCUACCGUCAAACAAAACAGAAUAAGAUGUAUAACAGAUAAACAUCAUAUGCAAUCAAAAUAUGUGACAUGAUAUGGCCAUGAUCAUCUUGCGCCUUUGAUCUCCAUCUCCAAAGUACUGUCAUGAUCUCUAUCGUCACCAGCACGACACCAUGAUCUUCAUCAUCUUGAUCUAUAUCGAUGUGUCGUCACAUGGUCGUCUCGCCAACUAUUGCUCUUGCAACUAUUGCUAUCGCAUAGCGAUAAAGUAAAUCAAUUAUUUGGCACUUGCAUCUUAUGCAACAAAGAGACAACCAUAGGGCUUCUGCCAGUUGCCGAUAACUUCAACAAAACAUGAUCAUCUCAUACAACAACUUAUAUCUCAUCACGUCUUGACCAUAUCACAUCACAACAUGCCCUGCAAAAACAAGUUAGAUGUCCUCUACUUUGUUGUUGCAAGUUUUACGUGGCUGCUACGGGCUGAGCAAGAACCAUUCUUACCUACACAGCAAAACCACAACGAUAGUUCGUCAAGUUGGUGCUGUUUUAACCUUCGCAAGGACCGGGCGUAGCCACACUCGGUUUAACUAAAGUUGGAGAAACAGACACCCGCUAGUCACCUGUGUGCAAAGCACGGCGGUAAAACCAGUCUCGCGUAAGCGUACGCGUAAUGUCGGUCCGGACCGCUUCAUCCAACAAUACCGCUGAACCAAAGUAUGACAUGCUGGUAAGCAGUAUGACUUGUAUCGCCCACAAAUCACUUGUGUUCUACUCGUGCAUAUAACAUCAACGCAUAAAACCUGGCUCGGAUACCACUGUUGGGGAACGUAGUAAUUUCAAAAAAAUUCCUACGCACACGUAAGAUCAUGGUGAUGGCAUAGCAAAGAGAGGGGAGAGUAUUGUCCACGUACCCUCGUAGACCGUAAGCGGAAGCGUUAUGACAACACGGUUGAUGUAGUCGUACGUCUCCACGAUCCGGCCGAUCCAAGUACCGAACGUACGGCACCUCCGAGUUCAGCACACGUUCAGCUCGAUGAUGAUACCCGGGCUUCGAUCCAGCAAAGCUUCGGGGAUGAGUUCCGUCAGCACGAUGGCGUGGUGACGAUGAUGAUGCUCUACCGGCGCAGGGCUUCGCCUAAACUCCGCGACGAUAUGACCGAGGUGGAAUAUGGUGGAGGGGGGCACCGCACACGGCUAAGGAACGAUCCAUAGAUCAACUUGUGUGUUAUGGGGUGCCCCCCUGCCCCCGUAUAUAAAGGAGCAAGGGGGGAGGGGGCGGCCGGCCUAGGAGGAGGCACGCCAAGGGGAGUCCUACUCCCACCGGGAGUAGGACUCCCUCCUUCCUUGUUGGAGUAGGAGAAGGGGAAAGAGGGGGAGAGGAAGAAGGAAAAGGGGGCUGCGCCCCUUGUCCAAUUCGGACCAGAGGGGGGGCGUAGGCCUCCUUCCUUUUGGCCUCUCUCCUCUAUUCCCGUAUGGCCCAAUAAGGCCCGUAUACUCCCCGGCGAAUUCCCGUAACUCUCCAGUACUCCAAAAAAUACCUGAAUCACUCGGAACCUUUCCGAACUCCGAAUAUAGUCGUCCAAUAUAUUGAUCUUUACGUCUCGACCAUUUCGAGACUCCUCGUCAUGUCACCGAUCUCAUCCGGGACUCCGAACUCCUUCGGUACAUCAAAACUCAUAAACUCAUAAUAAAACUGUCAUCGAAACCUUAAGCGUGCGGACCCUACGGGUUCGAGAACUAUGUAGACAUGACCUAGAACUAUUCUCGGUCAAUAACCAAUAGCGGAACCUGGAUGCUCAUAUUGGCUCCUACAUAUUCUACGAAGAUCUUUAUCGGUCAAACCGCAUAACAACAUACGUUGUUCCCUUUGUCAUCGGUAUGUUACUUGCCCGAGAUUCGAUCGUCGGUAUCCAAUACCUAGUUCAAUCUCGUUACCGGCAAGUCUAUUUACUCGUUAUGUAAUGCAUGAUUUCGUAACUAACUCAUUAGUCACAUUGCUUGCAAGGCUUAUAGUGAUGUGCAUUACCGAGAGGGCCCAGAGAUACCUCUCCGACAAUCGGAGUGACAAAACCUAAUCUCGAAAUACGCCAACCCAACAUGUACCUUUGGAGACACCUGUAGUACUCCUUUAUAAUCACUCAGUUACGUUGUGACGUUUGGUAGCACCCAAAGUGUUCCUCCGGUAAACGGGAGUUGCAUAAUCUCAUAGUUACAGGAACAUGUAUAAGUCAUGAAGAAAGCAAUAGCAACAUACUAAACGAUCAAGUGCUAGGCUAACGGAAUGGGUCAUGUCAAUCACAUCAUUCUCCUAAUGAUGUGAUCCCAUUAAUCAAAUGACAACUCAUGUCUAUGGUUAGGAAACUUAACCAUCUUUGAUUAACGAGCUAGUCAAGUAGAGGCAUACUAGUGACACUAUGUUUGUCUAUGUAUUCACACAUGUAUUAUGUUUUCGGUUAAUACAAUUCUAGCAUGAAUAAUAAACAUUUAUCAUGAUAUAAGGAAAUAAAUAAUAACUUUAUUAUUGCCUCUAGGGCAUAUUUCCUUCACCUCUUUGAGCUCAGGGAAAAUCCCAGGUCCGGCUCCCCCGAACCGGAUAGCGACGGCGUCUCGACGUCAUCUUCCUUCUUGAAGGCGCUAUCUUGCAAGCUCGUGCUGUCCCCGGUUUUGGCUCGGACGAUGUUGGAAUUCUUGUUGGUUCGGCAUUGCCGUUCUUGGUUCGGGUCUGGUAGGUCUAGCUGUGAUGUUUCCUUUGUUUGGGCCGAGCAUCCCCUUCUCUCUGCUCCGGGCAUCAUGUUCACGCCUGUCUGAGUCCGUGUCAUGUGUUGUACCCCCGUUGUACUCAUUCUACUCUUUCUAUCAAUGAAAUGAUACACAAGCUUUGCGUAUUCCCUCAAAAAAAAGGUGUAGCUCACUUCCAAUAACAAGGCCAUUCUUCAUGAGCCUCCAUACAUGGAUUUUUGCCUUGUUUGGAGCACAGGAGGCCCAUAGUGAAAGCCAUCCCUUGUGCGCUAUCACUGAUGAUGAAGGUUCCGGCCGUCCGGACCUUGUUUUGUUCAUGCUCAUUUUCAGGUGAUAAGCGGAUCCUACUGUGAACUGACCAUUCCUAGUGAAGUUCCAAGCCAUGUACAAAGGGUGGCCCUGGAGGCACACACUGAGCCUGCUGAGGCGCGAAGAAGGAAUGUCUUUUGGCUAGAAGAUGGUGGAGGGCAAGAGGAGGUUGCUACGAAUGUGGAUGAUGCAAUGGCGGAAGAUGCUGAAGAGGAGACCAAUGCUUGAUUCAGUUUAACGGUAGCAUGUAUUGCGUGCACCUGCAUGUGGCUUUUGCUGCGAGAUGUUUGUGCGCACUUUUUUUCAGAUUUUUUUGGCAUUUCAAAACGUGUUUUCCAAAGUGGGUUCAUAUGUACCCGGGUUCAUCUAUGCACUUUCCGGCCCUGGAGGCACAUACUGAGCCUGCUGAGGCGCAAAGAAGGAAUGUCUUUCGGCUAGAAGAUGGUCGAGGGCAAGAGGAGGUUGCUACGAAUGUGGAUGAUAGGUGCCGCAGGUAAAAAAAAAGGUAGGUGCUACCAAAAUAUCGUCAUGUGAACAAGGACGGAAAUGUCCACACCCCAACGGGGGAACAAAGUAUCUCCAUGUGAAGGAACCCCACGCAUAGCAAUUCACCACCCUCAGCAUAAGGCACACGCAGGUGCACACAAUACAUGCUACUGUUAAACUGAAUCAAACAUUGGUCUCCUCUUCAGCAUCUUCCGCCAUUGCAUGGAUGGUGGCAACGGUCAUUGCCUAAAAAAAGGCAAGACAGGUAAACGAAGUGAAAAAACAGAUUUCUCUACUUUACCGUGCGAUUCGUAGGGGCUAUUCAUAGGAGUUGAGAUGCGAUAUCCCGGCAAAAAUCGGUAAACUAAGCCAAUCCAAGCUCCUUGGACGCGCGCGCUCUGUCCCCAUGGACGAGACCGGCUCAUCCCCCUCCUUCGGCCACCUGCUCCCCUGCCUGGACCUCGCCGAGCGCCUGGCGUCGCGGGGCUACCGUGUGUCGCUCGUCUCUGCGCCGCGAAACAUCGCGCGGCUCCCGCCUGUGCGCCCAGCUGUGGCGCCGUUCGUCGGCCUCGUGGCACUGCCGUUCCCGCGCGUGGCCGGGCUCCCCGACGGCGCCGAGUCCACCAACGACCUCCCCUUCGACAAGUUCGAGCUCCAUCGCAAGGCAGCCGACGGCCUCACCGCGCCCUUCUCCGAGUACUUGGAGUCCCUAUGCGCCGAGCCCGGCGGAAGGAAGCCCGAUUGGAUCAUCGUGGACUACUUCAACGACUGGGCGGCCGCCGCCGCCAUCCAACACAAGGUUCCAUGUGCGAUGCUUGCCCUACUCGCUGCGACUGUGGUCGCCACCUUGGACAUUCUACUGUCCGAGCGCACCGCGUCCCGAUCGGCAGGAGCUACAAGGUUCGCUACGGAGAAGACGGGGCUAAUGGCUCUACAAUGCAAAUGGGGGAUGUCCAUCGCCGAGCAGGUCUCCUCGACGCUCCAGAGGUGCAAACUCGUUGCCAUGCGGAGUUGCAAUGAGUGGGAGCCCGAGAGCGUCGUUCAUGCCGCGACGUUCGGCGGCAAGCCGGUUGUCCCCUUCGGCCUCCUGCCGCCGUCGCCUGACGGAGGUCGCCGCGGCGACAGAGGGAACGACCAUACAGCCGUGCGAUGGCUCGAUGCGCAGCCGGCCAAGUCGGUCGUGUACGUCGCGCUCGGAAGCGAGGUGCCGCUGCGCCCGGAGGAGGUGCGCGAGCUCGCCCUCGGGCUUCAGCUCGCCGGGACGCGCUUCCUCUGGGCUCUGAGGAAGCCACAGGCCGUCGACGCCGACGUGCUCCUCCCCCAGGGGUUCGAGGAGUGCACGCGCGGCCAUGGCCUCGUGAUAACGGGCUGGGUUCCUCAGCUCGGGAUACUGACGCACGACGCCGUGGCUGCGUUCCUGACGCACUGCGGCCUGAGCUCCACCAUCGAGGGGCUCCUGUUCGGGCGUCCUCUCAUCAUGCUGCCCAUCAUGGGGGACCAAGUGCCGAAUGCAAGGCUGAUGGAGUGUAGAAAGGUCGGCGUGCUGGUGCCGAGAAACGAGAACGACUGUUCGUUUGACCAAGAAGGCGUCGCGACGGCGAUUCGGGCUGUGGCGGUAGAGGAAGAAGGCAGGAGAGUGUUUACAGCCAACGCCAAGAAGCUGCAAGAGAUCGUGUCGGACACGGAGUGCCAUGAGAGGUAUAUUGACCGCUUUAUUCAGCAGCUUAGAUGUUACAAGUAGUGAAGGGAAGCGUACGUCUUGAUGUUACCUGGAGUCCUGGACUUAGAACAUGCAGUAGAACAAGCUUCUGUAUAUUGGAAUUUUUCUCAAACACGCACCAGUCAUUCAUUAAAGGAGGGGGAAGAAUCCCAAAAAUUCCACAUUGUUACAGAUUAUUUUUAGCAUCAGUACAGACAUAAGCGCUCAUAUACACGCGCAUACACUCUCCCCUAUGAACGCACACACGCACACCCUACCUCUAUGAGCACCUCCGAGAGACUGAGCCGACAUAUCAUCUUGAGAUUUACGAAGUCACCAUAGGCGCCUCGUCGUCGACGGGAACGUCUCCUCCCACUAAAAGCGCAUCGCCGGAAAUCCUGAAAUAAAUUCAGGAAUAAUACGGAUCUUUCCCCACCAUCACAGUAGACAAGUAAACAGACUACUCGCUAUCUACCCGCACUGGAGCUGCUCCACCGAAGCCUUCUCCACCACUCGUGAAUAUUCCUGCCAAUCUCCAUAGCUUGCCCUCCUCUUCAAUUUGUUGUGUGAUCCGCUGGAAGGACGGAGAUGCUCUAUUGAAGACGAUAUCAUUCCGAUGCUUCCAGAGCAUCCACAUACCUAGCAGGCACAUUGCUCUGGUAGGUCGUCGACCAUCACUCCUUUCAUCCUGCCUGAUGCACCACUCGCCCAAAGUUUUGUUAUCCCUAGUCUCAAACUUCGGCCUUCUGAUAGCUACACUGAACCAGUGCCAAACUUGCUUCGUGAAAGCGCAGUUAAUCAGCAGGUGGCUCAUGGUCUCCUCAUGUUGAUCACAUAACGGGCAGGCAUCUUGAUGUGGCAACCCUCUAAUCUGUCCGAAGUCCAGCACCGGUCCUUCAUGGCAAGCCAUGGAAAGAAGCGACAUUGCAUGGGCGCUCGUGAUUUCCAUGUGAAUUGUGCUGUUGUCGGCGUUCUGGGGACGGGGGUCCCCAGACUUGCCUGCCCGCGGCCCUGCGGCGUGGCUCAAGUGGUGGCCCAGUACGACCCGUCUUCAUCAACACAAGACUCAAGACCCUCGCGAGGGGCCAAGCCUCGCGGGGUGGACGGCACAAGGCUUCCUUAGGAACGGCCUCGCCAGGCAGGCUCGCGAGGAGGCGGAGAGAUCAAGGCAGGGUACCUCGCGAGGUGCUCGUGACGCAAGCCAUGACGAUCGAGACCAGGCGGGCGCCGGCUUGCGCAGUGUCCUUGUUCCUCUUUGGUGCAAAGGGGGCAAGCACAGGCGCGGAGUACCGAGGCAUCAGGCAAAGGUUGCCAUUUCAGUGUAACGAGACCAAGACCAGCGGAGCGGCAGGAUGGAGGUCACCGUGGAGCCCAAGACGGCGUCAUCACCAGUGCUUUUGGUAGCCGAAGACCAACUUUAGUCAGGAUAACUUGUACUAGAUGUUCCCCUUCGAAAUGACCAUUGUUGGCGCCCUUCCCGCUCAAUAUUUGGAAAGAGGCCUAGGGCCUCUAUAAAUAGGACUAGUUACCACAGUAGAGGGGGAUCCAGUUUUGGGACGGAUCGAGAGCUCAUUAGAGAGAGAGAGAGAGGCGAUCGAACUCACCCAAGCAGUUCAUCGCACCAGCUCAAGAACACCUCUCGCGAGGCUGUUCUUCCAUUGUACUGUUCAUCAUCAGCCCCUGAGGCAAUCCACCAGACCACACACUGGAGUACAGUAUUACACCACAACGGUGGCCCGAACCAGUAUAAAUCUUGUGUCCCUCGUGUUGUUCAUCGUUUUUAGCUUAGAUCUCACGAGACGAUCGGACGUAGGUCGGUAGGGGAGAGAUCUUCAUGCGCACCCCAGAGUUCGAACCUUAAGGGUCUGCCGGAACCCAACAUCCGACAUUUGGCGCGCCAGGUAGGGGUGCGCCGGAAUCUUUCUUCCGCUGUUCGCGUCCGAUCUUCCGUCGUGUCCAUGGAUGACGCUCGCUGGGCUCGCGCUGAGCGUCGGGCUGUUCUCGCCGCCCGCAUCGCCCAGACGGCUCCCGUCGGUGGGUGUCCCCGUCGUUCCCCGUCGCCUGCCGCCAACGCCGCCACCGGCCCGACGGGGAACAAGCAGCAGGCCUGGUCGCUGCAUCCUUCGGUGCGGCGGGAAGGCCGCACCGCCACCCCAUCGCUGACUCCAGCUGGUUCAUCGUCCCAUGCCCGUCGCGCCCCCGCGGACGCGCACGCCGCAUUGCUCCUGGCGCGUGAGCUCCUGCACUACUGUCCCAUCGACGACCUCUACGAGGAGUGGCUCACUUGCAUCACCGAGCUCGUCAGCGCCGCAGGGGGCUCCCCUGCGCCGUCCAUCUCGCUACCUCGCCCUCCGUCCUGUGCAGGAGGCGCAGAUCAGGAGGUGCCUCUGCCACCUCCUCCCCAAGAAGGCGCCCUGGCCCCGAGGCGCGCGGCCCCAGGACGAGACCCACCGCGUUCGGCGCCAGCACAUCAAGAAAGAAGCUGCCAAGAAAUCCCUCGUCCACAAGAAGGUGCAUGCGUGCUCCCGGCACCGGCGCGCCACGACCGCGUCCCUGCGCCAGCACGUCAAGACCCCGCGCUGCUUCAGGCAGCGACGCGUGGGAAUCUCCAUGAGCAAGCCCUGUAUCAGCAAAGAGCUCCGGUGGUUACCGCAGGCUGCCGCGCCUUCACCAUCGAGCUGCACAGUGUCGCGUGGACGGACAAGUUCAAACCUGACCUGCCUCCCCGCUACGACGGCACUGUAGACCCCGCGGAGUUCCUGCAGCUCUACGAGUUGGGGAUGGAAGCCACCAACGGGGACGAAAAGGUCAUGGCGAACUGGUUUCCCAUGGCGCUCAAAGACGGUGCCCGCACCUGGCUCCUGAACCUGCCUCCCGGCACGAUCUCCUCCUGGGACGAGAUGCGCACUCGCUUCAUCGCCAACUUCCAGGGCACUCGCGACCGUCCACCGGCCGUGGGUGACCUGCGGCGCAUCAAGCAGCAGCCCGAAGAGACCUUACAAAAGUACAUCCAACGCUUCAACAACGCUCGCCUCAAGAUCCCCAGGGUGACUGAGAAGGCCAUCAUCUCUGUGUUCUCUGACGGCGUUCGUGACGUCAAGAUGAAGGAGGAGCUGGCGAUCCACGAAGACCUGUGUACGUCUCUGGAGCUGUUCAACCUAGCGACCAAGUGCGCAAGGGCUGAGGAAGGGCGCCUCUCCCUUCUCGAGCUCCCAGCAGCAGACCCAGAAGAGAAGAAAGCCAAUGCCAAGGAUGUGAAGCGCAAGGGAGUAGCUGUGCUCGCAGCAAAGACGGACACAAAGCGCGGCAUGGACCAACCAUAGUCGUCCAAGGGCAGCCGGUACUGUGUGUACCACGAUCUCCACACCCACAACACCAACGAAUGCCAAGAACUCAGGGCCAUGCGAGAAGGCCGUGUCGGUUGACGCCCCGAGCGCAAUCGGGGCUACGGCCGAGGCGGAGCAAGAGGUGGAGGACGAUGGGAUGACCGUGGCCCUCGCCAAGGGUGGUGUGACCGGCCUCGCGAGGACCGCUGGCAGGACCAGCCUCGCGAGGGGGCUUGGAGAGAUCAGCCUCGUGAGGAUCGCCCGCAAGGCAACGCAGGACUCCUUCCUCUGCCGCCACCACCAAGAAGGAAUGAUGACCAUCAUCAGGACGAGGGGGCUGGGGGCUUCCACGAGCCUCGUGCCAUCGCUUGCAUCUUGGGCGGCGCCCAGGCCCCAGCCUCUCAAUGCAUCUUCAAGUAGUUUGCUCGCGAGGUGAAUGUAGUCCUUCCCAAGCUUGAGGCCACGCGCCCUCUCAGGUGGUCAGCAUGCGCCAUCACGUUCAGCUCAGCGGAUCAGCUCAAGUGCGCGGCAACGGCCGGUGUCCUCCCGAUGCUCUGCUCCCCAGUCAUCAGCAAUGUGCAAGUUACCAAGACCCUCAUUGACGGCAGGGCAGGGCUCAACGUCCUAUCCGUCGAGACGUUCAACAAUCUUCAAGUGCCAUACGAUCAGCUUCAACCAACCAAGCCCUUCUCAGGAGUCACUGAUGGUUCCAACAUACCGAUAGGGCAGGUCCGCCUCCCUGUCACUUUUGGACAGUGCAACAACUACCGCACCGAGCUCAUUGACUUCGAUGUCGUCCACAUUCGUCUGCCAUACAAUGCCAUCCUCGGGUAUCCAGCCCUAGCUAAGUUCAUGGCAGUGACUCACCAUGGCUACAAUGUCCUCAAGAUGCCAGGAAGUGGCGGGGUCAUCACGGUCCCGUGUGAAGAGAAGGAUGCGGUGUGCUCCCUCGAGCGUGCCUUCCAAGCCGCGUCAAUCGAGGACCCGGACAGCAAGAGUGGAAAUCCUCCUGAAGUAGCUCCCAAGAAGAGGAAGACAUCACCUGGUUCAAGGCCUCAGGAGGAAGGCUCCUCCGGAGGCGUCACAUCCGGACAUGCGCCCAUCCAAGGGGCGCCACCCUCCAUCGCAUAGGAGGCGCGCGCCCGGCGCCCUCCUCGGGCAGGGCUCGGGGGCUCUCUCCUGGGGAGCCACCGACUUGGCCAAGGUCACGAGGAAGGCACUCGGGCACCACUUGGAGGCGUGCUUCACGGCAUGUUUUCCUCAGGAAGGCGUAAGGCAAGGAGGGCCCAACCCUCAGGAGUUCAUCACCAAGGUCGCUCAAGAAUUACAGGAAUCGAGAGUCAUGCAUGGCAACUGCCACCUGCCCGGCGUAGCCCCCCAUCCAGGCGAGGAUGGUGGGCUCCGCAUCUGCAUCGACUACCCAAGGCUCAAUCGAGUCGCAUCUCAGGAGUGCUUCUGGCCUUCACGCGUGGGGCGUUGCGCAGGUCCACCGCACAGCUACGUUCGCAUGCCCUUCGGCCUGCCGAACGCGGCUGCAGCCCACCAGCGCCUGAUGAGAAGCAUUCUAGAAGCUCAGGUGGUCAAGCAUCGCGCGUUCCUGGAGGAGAUGGAGAUGGACCUCACCGAGCCGCCCGGAUCUCCAGAGCCCCCCGAGGCUCGGAGCCUCGAGGGCUCGUGAGGAUUGGCUCCUCCGCCUUCUCCGCCUCGCACCGCCAGCUACUCCGACCCUCACACUGCAAUGGUAUGAGGUGACUUCUUUCAAGUUUUGUUUCAGCUGGAAGCGCCCUCAGGGCUGCAUCAUUCCCAGGCCACGUGGAUCCGUCCCCGCGGCAUGUACCCAUUUUGCUUUUGUCUUCAACUUACCUUGUUGGGGGCGCCCCUCGGGCCGCAUCAUCCCCAAGUCAUUUGGGCCUGACCCAGUGGCGUGUGCUUUUCUCUGCAUCUAUCUAAGUUGAUUUGCUUCUUCAUGCCUAACCUACUCAUGAUUAUCAUCUGCUGCCUACCGCGGGCCUCUCCACUCUCAUGCAAAGCGCUUGCACGUUAAAAGGGGGGGUGCCUGAGCAUCACGACUCAUGGGCUCUUACUGGCUCUCCAGCCCUCACCCCCUGGCCUUAACCCACGGCAUCGCAACUUGUCAUACUAGCGGCGGCUGAGCUCGCUCGAGGGCCGGGACCUGAGGACGUAGAGCAUUUGCAUUCUAACCACCUUGCAGGAACGUACCACCGACAAAGGCCCAGAGCCAGGCGCAACCCGCCUCGAGGUAGGGCCCCGUGGGUCCCGCGCUGGCUCACGGGUGCCCAGAUACACCUCUCCUAGCCCUACCGUGCCGACCAUGUGUCAGGGCGGGGCUGUACACGCCCCGGGGGCUCCUCCCGAAGGGGAUCCCCCCUCCCACGCACUAGUGGAAGCACCAUGCUCCGCGCUGGCUGACGACACUGCCGAGGAGCGGCUAUGCCCGUACACAUACGGAAGCGCUAUGGUCCGUGUUGGUGAUAAACAACUGAGGGCGGCCCAUGGCUGUGUCAACCUCAGGGAGCCCAGAGCUCAGUGUCUGGCUUCAUCGCAACGCCUCCCCUCAGGAGCGCCGCGCGAGGGGGCUGGACACGCGGGCUGCGCCCGGGCCACGCCCGAGCACACGCCACCCAGCCAGGUCCCUCGGACCUGGUCGUCGCAUGCCCCUCCCCGAGCGGAGCCAAGGUAUGAAGACCUGUUUGACCAUCAAGAGGGACUCCUGAGCAUCGCGACUCAGGAGCCUAACUGGUCACGUAGCCCCUCACUCCUUAGUUUCGAAAGGCUAACGGCGGUUGAGGUAUGUGCGGGGCUGGGCCCUGCCGACGUAGAACGACAAAUCCUCUCCUUCACCCCCUUCCUAUUUGCUGUUCGCGCGUCAAGAGGGACUCCUGAGCAUCGCGACUCAGGAGCCUAACUUGUCACGUAGCCCCUCACUCCUUAGACCCGUCCUGGUGAUCCGGUCAGGGCUAACGGCAGCUGAGGUAUGUGCGGGGCCGGGCUCUGCCGACGUAGAACACAAGCAAGUAGGAAGGAAAUCGCAAAACCUAGCAAAUCCAGAAGCAAAUAUUACAGACCAUAAAAUUGUUCUCACGAUACCAGACACAAAUUUAAACGCCUCCACGAGGCAUGGUGCAUGUUGUAGGAAUCAAAACAGGAAAAAGGCCGCGAGAAGAUCACCCCUGGGCCGCGCCACCGCUCGUGGUAGAGUCGCGCUUGGCAGCCCCGCCUCUUGGAACUGCGGGGCCGGCAGCGCCUCGCUUGGGCGCGGUGUUGAAGGCGCGGAACUUCGACAGCAAGGCCUCCGCUCGACCCUUGACGGCUUCAGCAGCAGCGGCGGAGCGCUUGGCAUCCACGGGCUCCAGCAGGUCGUCGAGGUUGGCGUCGGGGUUGCGGAGGUAGACGUGGCUGAGGAUCCGCGUCAGCGCUGCGGAGGAGAGGAUGCGAGCCUCGACUUCAGCCAUGGGGCCAAUGCCGAUCACGACUUCUUCAAGCGCCUCAACGAGGAAGGGAACCAGAUUAGCGGGGCCUUCCUUGGCCCCGGCCAGCGGUUUCUCCAGGCCCCCGUCAUAGAGCGUUUUCAGCGCUAUACGGGCCCUCUCCUUGUAGAGCGCAAAGGCCGCAUGGUCCUCGGCGAAGACCUUCGUCUCGGCAUCUAGUUCGACCCUCUCCACCUUCAGCGCCUGCUCCAGCGUCUUCAGCUGGUCGCGGUCGGCUGACAGUUCGGCAUCGCGCUCCUUGACAGCAGCCUUCCGAGCUUUCAUCUCCUCCUCCUUCACCUAGCGGUCGCGCACCUCCUUGGCGAGCUUAGCACGCGGCCCUUCCAGCUCACCCUCCAGCGUCUGGCAGCGGCCCUUGACGGUCGAAGCGUCCUUCAACACUGCGUCGUGGGCGACCAUGGCCUGGGAGGUGGCUUGCUUCCCCUCAUCGGAAGCCGUCACGGCCUGGCUCAGCGCCGCUCGGACGGAGGCGUCAGAACUAGCCCCGCUGGAGACCAACUCCAGGCGCCCGGCCACCAGGCGAGGAUCCGCGCUCCGGAGAUCCUCCCGUAGCCGACUCAGCUCGUCAGCAGCUCAGUCCAAGGCGAUGGAAGAGGCGGAGGAGACGGGAGCUGGCGGAGUAGGAGGAGAAGACGACAACGUGAUCACAGCUUGGGAGGAAAGAACCUCCUGGGCCUUGGCCACUCCAGCGGCAGAAUCAGGCACCUCCAGAGUCAGCGGGGCCACAGGGGCCGACUCCUCGCUGGAGUGUCCCUGCUGGCCUCGCGAGGAUGACCGAGCAGGGGACGCACGGGCUCUGCCGCCUCCCUUUCCUGCGAGUGAAGACGCGGCCAUGGCUGUGGAGCCCGUCCCAGGCGGGGUCGCCGCGUCUCCCUUCAGCCUCUUCGUCGCAGGUAUCAGCCUAUCUAAUAGAAGAUGUCAGGCCUCAACGGCGAAAGGACAGGAGCAAGGCAAAGUUCGAGCACUUACUAUUUAACUGCCGUGGGAUCCCACAGACCCUGGCCAAGCUUGAAGCCCGAAAGCCUCUUGCGGGGCUCAGCCUCGGGAGGCCCGGCCGCAGAAGAAGGCGCACCCGAAGGGAUGGAGCUGACUUCGGCCGAUGCGGGGGCUGGGGAAGACCCUCGGGAGAUCAGCCCGGACCUGUCCUUCCUCGGGACCAGGGGCGCAUCCUUCCCUCCUCGCCUGGCGCCGGCCUCGUCGUUGUCGGGCAUGGAGCGGAGGGCGCUGGACUUGCGCCAGGGGAAAGUCUCCCCCGUCCCCUCAAAGGUCGCCUCCGAGUCACGCUCCUCGUCCUCGUCGUCAUCUCCCUUCCCCGCUGGAUUCACCAGAGGACAGGUUCACCGUCGCCGUCGCCGCUUGGCCCUCAGGAUCCUCCGCCGGCACCAGACCGACACUGUCAAAGGUGGGCAUGGUAUCCACCACCAACUUCCAGUCGUCGUGAAGGAACAAAGGGACCGAAGCACCCACCGGGCCAACCACUUCCUCUCCAACCAAGAAGCGGAGGGCCGCGGUUAGAUCCUCGUCGUUCAAGGCGUCCAAGCUCAGGCGGAGGACAAUGUCAGCAUCCGCGAGCAUCCACAGUGGGCGCGAGUGCGCUUGAAGAGGGGCCACCCGGUGUGACAGGAACUCCCUUAGGAGCGAGGCCCCGGUCAGCUUCGCCGCCCUCAGGCUGCCCGGCCUCAGGUCAGCAUUCAUCUUCUCCAGCACCAGCUUCGCCCGCCGAUCGUCAAGCUUCGCACGGGACCACACCUCAACAGCUUCAGGCUGCUUGGUAGGCAGCUCCAGCAGGGGGUUAUGGGACCCGGCGUCCACCAUAACCCACUUGCUCCGAAAGCCCUUGGCCCUCUUCCCGGCCUUCAAGAUGGCGUUGGACUUGGAGUACGCGACAAAGCUCGCGCACGCCGAGAUAUUGCCACCGGAGACCCGGAAGGAGAAGAAGUGGCGCAGCAAGGCCACGGAGGGCACCACCCCGACGUGCGCCUCACAGUAAUAGGCGAAGAUCGACAGGAGGAGGAUGGAGUUGGGAUGGAUAUGCAGAGCAUGCAACUAAUACUGGCGAAGCACGGCGAAGAAGAAUGCGGAGAAAGGAGGGACCAGACCAGCGAUAAUGGUGCCCAUGAAGAUGGGGUAGAAGGUGCUCCCCUUGUCUUCCGGCCGGGCGGAGCCAAGCCAGAGCGCAGUCUCCCCCAUCUCGUUGAUCUGCGCCGCCGCCAUCUGGCACGUGAGGGCGAGAUUCUUCUCCGUCACAUUGGGGGAGACCAGGGCCGGCGAGUACCAGGCCGAUGUAGCCCCAGCCGGAGUCUUGAGGGGAGCCAUCAUUCGCCAGAGAAGAAAGAAGGCAGCAAAUCUGGAGAUCUUGGAGGCAGGAAGGCGAAGAGCAAGAAAGGGGAUCUGGAGCGAGGAGGACGAGAGUAAUGGGGUAAGGCUAACCCAGAGCCAACCUUUUGUCAGUCAAGCAGUUGCCGAGGCAGCAUGGGGAAGUGGAGACGCCCACGUCCAAUCAACCGCCACGCGGCGCCCAAGGCCGCAGGUUGAUGGGGCCCGUGGCGCUCCACACUUGCCCCUUCGCUUCCCCUCUAAGCCAAGUCCGAGCGCGCCUUGGGCCCGGGAGCUACUGUCGGCGUUCUAGGGAUGGGGGUCCCUAGACUUGCCUGCCUGCGGCCCUGCGGCGUGGCUCAAGUGGUGGCCCAGUACGGCCCGUCUUCAUCAGCACAAGACUCAAGACCCUCGCGAGGGGCCAAGCCUCACGGGAUGGACGACACAAGGCUUCCUCAGGAAUGGCCUCGCCAGGCAGGCUCAUGAGGAGGCAGAGAGAUCAAGGCAGGGUACCUCGCGAGGUGCUCAUGAUGCAAGCCAUGACGAUCGAGACCAGGCGGGCGCCAGGCGGGCGCCGGCCUGUGCAGUGUCCUUGUUUCCUGUUUGGUGCAAAGGGGGGAAGCACAACCGCGGAGUACCGAGGCAUCAGGCAAAGGUUUCCAUUUCAGUGCAACGAGACCAAGACCAGCGGAGCGGCAGGAUGGAGGUCACCGUGGAGCCCAAGACGGCGUCAUCACCAGUGCUUUUGGCAGCCGAAGACCAACUUUAGUCAGGAUAACUUGUACUAGAUGUUCCCCUUCGAGAUGACCGUUGUUGGCGCCCUUCCCGCUCAAUAUUUGGGAAGAGGCCCAGGGCCUCUAUAAGUAGGACUAGCCACCACAGUAGAGGGGGAUCCAGUUUUGGGACAGAUCGAGAGUUCAUUAGAGAGAGAGAGAGAGAGGCGAUCGAACUCACCCAAGCAGUUCAUCGCACCGGCUCAAGAACACCUCUCGCGAGGCUGUUCUUCCAUUGUACUGUUCAUCACCAGCCCCUAAGGCAAUCCACCACACCACACACUGGAGUAGGGUAUUACACCACAACGGUGGCCCGAACCAGUAUAAAUCUUGUGUCCCUCAUGUUGUUCAUCAUUUUUAGCUUAGAUCUCACGAGACAAUCGGACGUAGGUCGAUAGGGGAGAGAUCUUCGUGCGCACCCCAGAGUUCAAACCUUAAGGGUUUGCCGGAACCCAACAUCCGACAGCUGUGGGUGACACCUCUAGUCCCAUGAACUUGGCCGCAUAACUAGAGUGCGCCGAAAACUGGCCCUCUUUUUCCCAUGACCAAGUUAGCACAUCCUCCACAUUGUCAUUCAGCUGCACCACCACGAUUCUCGGCCAUAGGUGUAGGAACUCAGCAAGUGCUCUUUGUUGUAGAUCCGGGCCAAUGUCCCCACACCAUGUGUUGUUUUGAAUUGCAUCCGCAAUAUAUCUUGUUCUCCGAAUUUGCCUCGAGACUUUCGGACCCGUAGGACCGGGGGUACCCAGACCCGCCCGCCUUCCGCCCAGGACGCGACGGGUGUCGAGGGCCCAGCGGAUGGCCCACUAGCAAGCUUCAUGAGCAAGACUCCUCGCGAGGCCCUUGCCUCACGAGUCCCACGUCAGCAGGCAUCCCAAGCGAACUGGAGGCGCCACCAGGAGCCUCGCGAGGCCCUCUCGUGAGGCGGCCUCCCGAGGCCCCCUCUUGGAGGCGAACAAGUCAGGGACUGCUCAGCCCGGAUGCGCGGCCCUGAGUCUUCACGUGGGUGACGCGCGCGGCGACGAACAAUGCCAGAGGCCGUGCCAGCAGGCGCAGAUGAGGAGGCUUUCCUCUUUUGUGCUAAGGGAGCAGGGCCAGCACACUGGUUCCCAAAGCAACCCCCAAGGUUGCCUGAUCGGUGCAAGAAGACCAAGACGAUGAGCGCGCAGGGCAUAGGUCAUCACCGGGCCCACCUACGCAUCAUGGAUGGUGGCUUUAUAGGCAAAGACCACCUUUUUUCAGGAUAGACUGCGCCCCCGCCCCCUUUCAAAAUGGCUGUUGUGUGGCAACCCUUCCCACCAAUGUUUUCGGGGAAGAGGCCCAAAGGCUGAUAUAAAAGGAGGGCAAGUUGUCGCCAUAGAGGAGAUCGGCAACUUGAGCCUCCACCCUUGUAUUCUCUCUCCCAGGCACCAGUCCAAUCAAAAACCGAGCAGGAGUAGGGUUUUACACCGCAAGGUGGCCCGAACCUGGGUAACUAUUAUGUCACCGGCCCGCUCGGGCUCGUCGUAGCCUCGUUGUGGUUCGCAGCAGGAAAGAGUAGGGCGGUAGGAACGAGCGCACCCAAAAGUUCAAACCUUUGGGUCCCCGGAGCCCCAAUUCUGACAUUUGGUGCGCCAGGUAGGAGUGCGCCGCCAUUCUUCUGCUCCGCUUCACUUGUUGCUCCGCCAAGCUCCAUGGCUGACGCUCGUCACGAGCGUGCCGAACGCCGGGCGGGUCACGUCGCCCAGACGGAGCCUGUGGGCCGCGACUGUCGCUGCCCCACUAACUCCAUGGAUGCCGCCACCAAUGACCCUGCUACCCACGAGCAGUAGGACUCCUCCAUGUACCCCUCUGUGAAGCCGGAUGGACGCACCAUUACGACCCCUUCCUCCCUCGACCGCCAUGGGCCGCCGAAUGCGCAGGCCGCGCUGCUCAUGGGGCACGAACUACUCCGCUACCGCCCGGCCGACGCCAGCUACGACGCCUGGCUUGGUGCUACGUCUCGAGCUUGCAUUGGUUUUCCUUGAAGAGGAAAGGGUGAUGCAGCAAUAGUAGCGUAAGUAUUUCCCUCAGUUUUUGAGAACCAAGGUAUCAAUCCAGUAGGAGGCUCCUCAGAAGUCCCAAGCACCUACACAAACAAACAAGAACUUGCAACCAACGCAAUAAAGGGGUUGUCAAUCCCUUCACGGCCACUUGUGAAAGUGAGAUCUGAUAGAGAUAAUAUGAUAAGAUAAAUAUAUUUUUGGUAUUUUAUGAUAUGAUUGGAAAAGUAAAUAUGCAAAUAAAAGUAGAUUGAAAGCUUAUGAUAAGAGAUAGACUCGGGGGCCAUAGGUUUCGCUCGUGGCUUCUCUCAAGAUAGCAUAAGUAUUACGGUGGGUGAACAAAUUACUGUCGAGCAAUUGAUAGAAAAGCGAAUAAUUAUGAGAUUAUCUAGGCAUGAUCAUGUAUAUAGGCAUCACAUCCGUGACAAGUAGACCGACUCCUGCCUGCAUCUACUACUAUUACUCCACACAUCGACCGCUAUCCAACAUGCAUCUAGAGUAUUAAGUUCAUAAAGAACAGAGUAACACAUUAAGAAAGAUGACAUGAUGUAGAGGGAUAAACUCAUGCAAUAUGAUAUAAACCCCAUCUUUUUAUCCUCGAUGGCAACAAUACAAUACGUGCCUUGCUGCCCCUGCUGUCACUGGCAAAGGACAUUGCAAGAUUGAACCCAAAGCUAAACACUUCUCCCAUUGCAAGAAAGAUCAAUCUAGUAGGCCAAACCAAACUGAUAAUUCGAAGAGACUUGCAAAGAUAACUUAAUCACACAUAAAAGAAUUCAGAGGAGAUUCAAAUAUUUCUCAUAGAUAAACUUGAUCAUAAACCCACAAUUCAUCGGAUCUCGACAAACACACCACAAAAAGAGUUACAUAGAAUAGAUCUCCAAGAAGAUCGAGGAGAACUUUGUAUUGAGAUUCAAAGAGAGAGAAGAAGCCAUCUAGCUAAUAACUAUGGACCCGAAGGUCUGUGGUAAACUACUCACAACUCAUCGGAGAGGCCUUGGAGAUGAUGUAGAGGCCGUCCGUGGUUGAUUCCCCCUCCGGCAGAGCGCCGACGAAGGCUCCAAGAUGGGAUCUCGCGGAUACAGAAGGUUACGGCGGUGAAAAUAGUUUUUUGUGGUCGCUUCUGAUGUUUUCGGGGUACAUGGGUAUAUGUAGGAGGAAGAAGUAGGUCGGUGGACGCUUGAGGGGCCCACGAGGGUGGGGGGCGCGCCCACCUGUAGGGGGCGCGCCGGGCACCCUCGUGGUCGCCUCCCUUGUUUCUUGACUUCCACUCCAAGUCCUCUGGAUCACGUUUGUUCCAAAAAGAUCACUCCCGAAGGUUUCAUUCUGUUUGGACUCCGUUUGAUAUUCCUUUUCUUUGAAACACUGAAAUAGGCAAAAAAACAACAAUUCGGGCUGGGCCUCCGGUUAGUAGGUUAGUCCCAAAAAAUGAUAUAAAAGUGUAAAGUAAAGCCCAUAAACAUCCAAAAUGGGUAAUAUAAUAUCAUGGAACAAUCAAAAGUUAUAGAUACGUUGGAGACGUAUCAAGCAUCCCCAAGCUUAAUUCCUCCUCGUCCUCGAGUAGGUAAAUGAUAAAAACAGAAUUUUUGAUGUGGAAUGCUACCUAGCAUAAUUCUCAAUGUAAUUUUCUUUAUUGUGGCAUGAAUGUUCAGAUCCAAAUGAUUCAAAAUAAAAGUUCAUAUUGACAUAAGAAAUAGUAAUACUUCAAGCAUACUAAUCAAAGCAAUCAUGUCUUCUCAAAAUAACAUGGCUAAAGAAAGUUCAUCCCUACAAAAUCAUAUAGUUAGGCUAUGCUUCAUUUUCGUCACACAAAAAUGCUCCCAUCUUGCACACCCCCGAUGACAAGCCAAGCAAUUGUUUCGUCCUUAAAUAAUCUCAGACUUUUUUCAACUUUCACGCAAUACAUGAGCGUGAGCCAUGGAUAUAGCACUAUGGGUGGAAUAGAAUAUGAUGAUGGAGAUUGUGUGGAGAAGACAAAAAAAGAGAAAGUCUCAUAUUGACGAGGAUAAUCAAUGGGCUAUGGAGAUGCCCACCAAUUGAUGUCAACAUGAGGGGUAGGGAUUGCCAUGCAACGGAUGCACUAGAGCUAUAAAUGUAUGAAAGCUCAACAAAAGAAACUAGUGGGUGUGCAUCCAACUUGCUUGCUCACGAAGACCUAGGGCAUUUGAGGAGGCCCACCGUAGGAAUAUACAAGCCAAGUCCUAUAAUGAAAAAUUCCCACUAGUAUAUGGAAGUGACAACAUAUGAGACUCUCUAUAUGAAGAACCUGGUGCUACUUUGAAGCACAAGUGUGGAAAAAAAGAUAGUAACAUUGCCCCCUUUUUUAUUUUCUUUUUUUGGCUUUUUUUAUUUGGCCUUUUUUUACUUUGGCCUUUCUUUUUUUUAUUUGGCCUUUCUUCUUCUUUUUUUAUUUGGGGACAAUGCUCUAAUAGUGAUGAUCAUCACACUUCUAUUUAUUUACAACUCAUGAAUUACAACUCAAUACUAGAACAAGAUAUGACUCUAUAUGAAUGCCUCCAGCGGUGUACCGGGAUGUGCAAUGAAUCAAGAGUGACAUGUAUGAAAAAAAUUAUGCAUGGUGGCUUUGCCACAAAUACGAUGUCAACUACAUGAUCAUGCAAGGCAAUAUGACAAUGAUGAUGCGUGUCAUGAUGAUGAACGGAACGGUGGAAAGUUGCAUGGCAAUAUAUCUCGGAAUGGUUAUGGAUAUGCCAUAAUAGGUAUGUAUGGUGUCUGUUUUGAGGAAGAUAUAAAGAGGUUUAUGUGUGAUAGAGCGUAUCGUAUCACGGGGUUUGGAUGCACCGGUGAAGUUUGCACCAACUCUCAAGGUGAGAAAGGGCAAUGCACGGUACCGAAGAGGCUAGCAAAGUAGCAAUGAUGGAAGGGUGAGAGUGCGUAUAAUCCAUGGACUCAACAUUAGUAAAAAAGAACUCAUAUACUUAUUGCAAAAAUCUACAAGUCAUCAAAAACCAAGCACUACGCGCAUGCUCCUAGGGGGAUAGAUUGGUAGGAAAAGACCAUCGCUCGUCCCCGACCGCCACUCAUAAGGAUGUACAAUCUAAGAACACCUCACGUUUCAAAUUUGUUACACAACUUUUACCAUACGUGCAUGCUACGGGACUUGCCAACUUCAACACAAGCAUUCUUUAAAUUCAUAAUCACCCAACUAGCAUGACUCUAAUAUCACCACCUCCAUAUCUCAAAACAAUUAUCGAGUAUCAAAUUGAUCAUAGCAUCCAAUUCACUUCUUAUGAUAGUUUUUAUUAUACCCAACUUGGAUGCCCAUCAUUCUAGGAGCAAUUUUCUAACCAUAGCAAAUACCAUUCUGUUCUAAGAGACUCUCAAAAUAAUAUAAGUGAAGCAUGAGAGAUUAACAAUUUCUACAAAAUAAAGCCACCACCGUGCUCUAAAUGAUAUAAGUGAAGCACUAGAGGAAAAAAACUAUCUAGCUCAAAAGAUAUAAGUGAAGCACAUAGAGUAUUCUAAUAAAUUCCAAUCAAGUGGGUUUCUCCCGAAAGGUGUGUACAGCAAGGAUGAUUGUGGUGAUCUAAAAAGCAAAGACUAAUAUCAUACAAGACGCUCCAAGCAAAACAUAUAUCAUGUGGCGAAUAAAAAUAUAGCUCCAAGUAAAGUUAUUGAUAGACAAAGACGAAAGAGGGGAUGCCUUCCGGGGCAUCCCCAACCUUAGGCUUUUGGUUAUCCUUGAAUAUCCUGGGGUGCCAUGGGCAUCCCCAAGCUUAGGUUCUUGCCACUCCUUAUUCCAUAGUCCAUCAAGUCUUUACCCAAAACUUGAAAACUUCACAACACAAAACUCAACAGGAAAUCUCAUAAGCUCCAUUAGCGCAAGAAAGAAAAACCACCACAUAAGGUACUAAAAUGAACUCAUUCUUUAUUUAUAUUGGUUUUAAACCUACUGUAUUCCAACUUCUCUAUGGUUCAUACCCUACAUACUAGCCAUAGAUGCAUCAAAAUAAGCAAACAACACACGAAAAACAGAAUCUGUCAAAAACAGAACAGUCUGUAGAAAUCUGUAACUCUCGAAUACUUCUGGAACUUUAAAAAUCCUACCAAAAUAGGAAGUCCUGGGCAAUUUGUCUAUUGAUCUACAUAAAAAAGAAUGAACGCAAAAUAACGUUUCUGUGAAUUACUAAAAUUAUUUUCGUGCAUGCAAAGUUUCUGUUUUUCAGCAGAAUCAAAUUAACUAUCACCAUAGGUUAUCCUAUAGGUUCUACUUGGCACAAACACUAAUUAAAACAUGAAAACACAUCUAAACAGAAGGUAGAUGGAAAAUUUAUUACUAAACAGAAGCAAAAACAAAAAUAAAAUAGAAUUGGGUUGCCUCGCAACUAGCGCUAUCGUUGAACGCCCCUAGCUAGGCAUAAAAGCGAGGAUAGAUCUAAGUAGUGCCAUCUUUGGCACUCAAUUCAUAACUAGCUCGCAUGAUAGAUUCAUAAGGUAAUUUGAAUUUCUUUAUUGUAAAGUGCUCCAUGCCUUUCCUUAAUGGAAAUUGGAAUCUAAUAUUCCCUUCCUUCAUAUCAAUAAUUACAUGAAUCGUUCUAAGGAAAGGUCUACCAAGAAUAAUAGGACAAGAAAGAUUGCAAUCUAUGUCAAGAAUGAUCAAAUCUACAUGCGCAUAGUUCCUAUGUGCAACAAUAAGAACAUCAUUGAUUAUUCCCAUAGGUUUUUAAUGGUGGAAUCCGCAAGGUGCAAAUUUAAAGAGCAAUCAUCAAGAUCAUGGAAACCUAGAAUAUCGCAUAAAGUUUUCGGAAUCGUGGAAACACUAGCACCCAAAUCACACAAAGCGUAACACUCAAGAUCUUUAAUUUUAAUCUUUAUAGUAGGUUCCCACUCAUCAUUAAGUUUUCUAGGUAUAGAAACUUCCAAAUUAAGUUUUUCAUCAUAAGAUUGCAUCAAGGCAUCAACAAUAUGUUUGGUAAAGGCUUUAUUUUGACUAUAAGCAUGAGGAGAAUUCAAAACGGAUUACAACAAGGAAAUACAACCUUCUAAAGAACAAUUAUCAUAAUUAAGUUCCUUGAAAUCCAAGAUAGUGGGUUCAAUGCUAUUUAAAGUCUUGACCUCUCCAAUCCCACUUUUACCAAAUUUAGCAUCAAGAUCUAGGAACUCCGAAUCAUUGGGAUGCCUUUUAACUAAAGUUGACUCAUCUCGAGUCCCAUCAUUAAUAAGAUUCAUAUUGCAAAACAAAGAUUUCAUAGGGUACACAUCAAUAACUUUUAGAUCUUCAUCAUUAUUUUCAUGGAAACUAGAAGAACACGCCUUUACAAAGCAAUCUUUCUUAGCACGCAAUCUAGUGGUUCUUUCUUUGCACUCAUCAAUGGACACUCUCAUUGCUUUGAGAGACUCAUUGAUAUCAUGCUUAGGAGAAGUAGAUCUAAGUUUCAAAGAAUCAACAUCAAGCGAAAGUCUAUCAACAUUCCUAGCCAAAUCAUCAACUUUAAGCAAUUUUUCUUCAAGCAAAGCAUUGAAAUUCUUUUGAGAGAUCAUAAAUUCUUUAACACUAUUCUCAAAAUCAGAGGGCAUCUUAUGAAAAUUACCAUAAGAAUUAUUGUAGGAAUUUCCAUAAUUAUUAGAGGAAUUACUAGGGAACGGUCUAGGAUUAAAGUUUCCUCUAUAAGCAUUGUUACCAAAAUUAUUCCUACCAACAAAAUUCACAUCCAUAGAUUCAUUAUUAUUCUCAAUCAAAGUAGACAAAGGCAUAUCAUUGGGAUCAAGGAGCACUCUUUGUAGCAAACAAUUUCAUAAGUUCAUCCAUCUUUCCACUCAAAACAUUAAUUUCUUCUAUAGCAUGCACUUUUUACUAGUAGAUCUUUCGGUGUGCCAUUGAGAAUAAUUAGCCAUAAUAUUAUCAAGGAGUUUAGUAGCUUCUCCUAAUUUGAUUUCCAUAAAAGUACCUCCCGCGGCCGAAUCUAAAAGAUUUCUAGAAGCAAAAUUCAAUCCGGCAUAAUAUUUUUUAUGAUCAUCCAUAAAUUUAAACCAUGAGUAGGGCAAUUGUGAAUCAUCAAUUUCAUUCUUUCCCAAGAUUGGGCAACAUGCUCAUGAUCAAUUUGUUUAAAAUUCAUAAUAUCGUUUCUAAGAGAGAUGAUCUUAGAGGGAGGAAAAUACUUAGAGAUAAAAGCAUCUUUGCACUUAUUCCAUGAAUCAAUACUAUUCUUAGGCAAAGAUGAAAACCAAACUUUAGCAUGAUCUCUAAGUGAAAAUGGAAAUAACUUCAAUUUGACAAUAUCAUUAUCCGUAUCUUUCUCCUUUUGCAUCUGACACAAAUCAACAAAAAUGUUUAGAUGGGUAGCGGCAUCUUCACUAGGAAGGCCGGAGAAUUGAUCUUCCAUAAAAAGAUUUAGCAAAGCAGCAUUGAUUUCACAAGACUUAACAUCAUUAAGAGGAGCAAUCGGAGUACUAAGGAAAUCAUUAUUAUUGGUAUUGGAAAAGUCACACAAUGUCACACCCUAGCUAGUCAUGCAUCAGAGUGUGUGCAUCAUGUUUAAAUUUUCCAUUUAAUUUGAAAUGGGGAUUUGAGAAACCCUCAGAAUCAUUUUUUGAAAAUGAUCCAAAUAAAAAUUUCUCCAAAAGGGUCCAAGAAAAUGCUCAUGUUGCUCUCUGAAAAUAUUGGACAGCGAUAAAAAUCAAACCAAUAUUUUUAAGAGCUCAUAGGUAUUUAUUUUGGGCAUUUGGAAUUAAUGCAUAAAUAUUUGCUUUGGAAAUAUAUUAGUUAUAUAUAUUAAUAUAUGUCCAAAUAUCAUGCCAUUUAUAAAGGAGCUCUGAAAUAAUAUAUCUAGCCCCUGCAAGAAAUGGCAUAAGGUAAAUAAAUGAUUUAAUAUAUUAUUUAAAUCAAAACAAAUGUCAGAAAAUUAAAAAAACAGAAAUAAAUAAAAGGAGGAGCUUACCUGGGCUCCUCCCUGUGCAGCCCAGCCAGCUGGCCGGCCCAGCCAGCAGGCGGCCCAGCCCGCCUCCCUCCUCUGUCGUCUUCGUCCUCGACAGAGGGAGGGGAGUGUGGCCGGCGCGCGCGCGCGCCACCGCGCCACGCCACCUGCUCGCCUGCCUGCCUGCCCUCCCCUCCUCCUCUCGAUGCCCCGGACGACGCCACGCCCCCUCCCCUGCUCUCUCUCACUCUCCCUCGGUUCUUCCCUCCUCUCCCUCGCUUCCUCUCUCACGGCCGAACACCACCAUCGCCGCCGUUCGCCAUAGCAGCCGUCACCGGCCACCCCUCGCCCCUCCGCUGAGCUCAGGAGCUCCGCCGCGACCCCCUCUUCCUCCCCACCCAGCCAAGCCUCUCCGGAAGCCCUGCAUCGCCGCCCACGUCGCCGUUCCCCUCCUCGGCCACCGGAGAUCGUCGCCGUCGAAUCGAGAGCUACCGGACGUCCCCGAGCCCGCUAACCAUCCCUGCAGCUCCGCGGUGAGCCACUGACCCGAUCCCCCCUUGCCCCGUCGUCCCUAGCAUCCUGUAGCUGCCGCCCCCUUGAGCUCCGAAGCUCGCCGCCGCCGUGCCUCGUCGCCGCCGUGGCUGGAGCCGUUGUAGCUCGAAGCCGAGCACACCAUCGUGCUCCACACCUCACCAGGAGCACGUAGCACGCACCAACACCUCCCCUAACGCCCUGCAACACCGAUUCCGACCGCACCCGAACUCCGGCCGCCGCUCACGAGCUCGCCGUCGUCGGUACCGGCCACCACAGGCACGGCCACCACCACCGUUCGACGCGCGGGAGCAAGGGCUCUCCAACGAGCCCAAGCACGGCCUCGCCCGUGCCCUGUAGCGCGUUUCCGCAUCGCGCCGCCGUCUCGGGCCUCGCCGGCGUCAUGUCGCCGGUGGGUUUGACCCACCUUGACCACGGCAGGACCCCCCUGUGUCCCUGACAGGUGGGCCCAGCCCUGUAGCUAAUUAGGAUUAGCACUAACCAAAUUAGUUAAACUAACUACCCCCCCUGACACUGACCAGUGGGCCCCAGCGCCACUAAUUCCUAAUUAGGAUUAGUUUAACCCUGUUAAACCCCCCUGUCACUGACGUGUGGCCCCCACACGUCAGGUUUGACCCCAGCCAGCCACAGUUGACCACUGACGUCAUGCUGACGUCAUGCUGGCGCAAUAUUUAUAUUACUGGAUUUAAUUUAAAUCAGGAAAUUCCAGAAUAUUAUUUAAACUUCAAAAAUUCAUAACUUUUAUUCUGUAACUCCAAAUUGGACAAAUUAUAUAUGAAAAAUGAUCAGAAAAAUCCAAUCUAUCCAUCUGUACUAUUUUCAUGCAUGAUCAAAUAAGUUAAAUUGAUGUUUUAAGAAGAAUAAGGAAAAGCACUUUCAAAGGCCAUGUUUGAGUUUGAAAUUUGAAUCUUUGAUUCAAAUUUAUUCAAACCCUUCUGGUUUUAGUUGCAUUAGCCCAACACACUCAUAUUGCCAUGUUUCAUGCAUGCAUCAUAUUGUUGCACAUUGUUUGGUGAUGGUUGUGUAUCGGUGUCCUUUGCGACAGGUUCUGCCCCCGAGGAGUACCGUGAUUACCCUAACGAAGAACCGUAUCAGUGCAUCGAACCAUCAGGCAAGCAACCAACCAUUUGAUCAUAUCGAUACAAUCCCAUGUUCUCGCUCCUGCUCUCUUUUACUGCAUUAAGACAACGCGUUUCAAACUGCUGUGUGCUACGGUAGUUGAACCCAUUUCCUCUGCAUGACCUGUCAUUGCCACAGUAACUAGAUGAAACCCACUAGCAUGUGUAGGAGUUGAGUGAGCCAUAUGUAUGUGUUGUUCCUACCUUGCUAUGCCUGCUAUGCUUAGAGUCGUGUCAGGUCUGGUUCGUCUGGGUGAUGGGCUAGAGUGAAAUGAUUAUGUCGGUAAUGAGAGUGGUGUGGUGAACACGAUUUGGUAAAGGUAUCGAUGAGAGGCCAUGUAGGAGUACAUGGUGGGUUGUUUCAUUGAAGCCGACCUUAAGCACUGAGAUCUGUAUGUGUGAUUUAAGAAUCAGCUACUACCAUGCAUUGGGCCCUGAAAUAUGACCCCGCUCGACUUCUUAUUCACCCUAGCGCUCUGUCCAGGAGUUGCAAGUAGUUUCUGGUGUUUGUAGUCUACUGGAGGCCGUGGACAGCGCUGACCGUAGGGGUGGGCUGUGAUGCGGUAGGUACGUGGUCGGGUGUACCGAAUACCCGUUAGGUAUCUCGGGAACCCUGUUCACAUCGUUCGGGGCCGUAUGGGAAACCUCGGCCGGACUCCCUGCGGAUGGAACCUGGAUAGGCGAUAAACCUGGACUAGAGGCUUAAGUGUUUAGGUAGGUCGUGGUCUACACCCACGUCGGCUUUCGCUUGAAGUCUGCCGAGCACAUGUCGUGUGCAGACGCUAAGUGGUGGAAACAUGUAUGAAGAAGUACACCCCUGCAGGGUUAUCAUAAUCUAUUCGAAUAGCCGCGUCCGCGGUAAAGGACUACUUGGUUGCCUAUACAGUUCAUAGACAAGUAAAUGGAAACUACUAAAAGCCUCAAGAUAAGUGUGAGUGCCGAGGAUGGCUCUUCCGUAGGAAGACGGAGGCGGAUCCUCGGUAGCGUAUUGAAUUGGUGAGUAGUGGACUCGUGUGCGCAAAACCAAUUCAAGUUGGAGUAUCGUAGGAUAGUCUAGCCAAGAGUCAAAGCUGGCUUGCUGCAAUAACUCCACCAACCCUUCUUGAUACUAUGCAUGUAUGUAGGAUCUGAUGUAAGUCUUGCUGAGUACCUUUGUACUCAUGUUGCUAUAAUUUACAUUUUUUACAGAAGACGCUGCAACCCCUUCUGAUGGGUUCUAUGUAGACGUUGACAUCAACGAGUAGGCUAAAGACCUAGGUGGUGACCCCGAGCUUGUGAAGGACCACGUAGUAUAGCUAGGCUUUCCAAGCCUCUUUUAUUUUACUAGUUGUCUGUACUCAGACAAUGUACUUCCGCUGCUGGUUUGUAUGACUGUAUGACUUGAAUGUUGGGUCGUGAGACCCGUACCUUUGUGUAUGUUAUGUAUGGCUCCCUGAGCCUUAAAUAAAGUACUUGUGUCGUAGAGUCAUGUUGUGAUGCUUCGUUGUAUUUGCACAUAUCAAGCAUAUUGUGUGUAUGAUUGAAAUGCUUGGUAUGUGUGGGAUCUGACUAUCUAGUUGUUUAUCUUUAGUAGCCUCUCUUACCGGGAAAUGUCUCCUAGUGUUACCGCUGAGCCAUGGUAGCUUGCUACUGCUCUGGAACACUUAGGCUGGCCGGCAUGUGUCCUUCUUCGUUCCUGUGUCUGUCCCUUCGGGGAAAUGUCACGCUUUGAGUACCGGAGUCCUGUUAGCCCGCUACAGCCCGGUUUACCGGAGUCCUGCUAGCCCAGUGCUACAGCCCGGACCCACUUGCUGAUGACCGACACGUUCGAUGCUGGGUCAUGGAUGCCUGUCCCUGUAAGUCUGUGCCACUUUGGGUUUACGACUAGCCAUGUCAGCCCGGGCUCCUUAUCAUAUGGAUGCUAGCGACACUGUCAUAUACGUGUGCCAAAAGGCGCAAACGGUCCCGGGCAAAGGUAAGGCGACACCCGUGGGAAUACCGUGCGUGAGGCCGCAAAGUUAUAUGAGGUGUUACAUGCUAGAUCGAUGUGGCAUUGAGUCGGGGUCCUGACAGCGUUGGCAUCAGAGCCGGACUGCCUGUAGGUUCUCCAAGCCAAACUGGUCGAUGUUGAGUCUAGAAAUUCUUUAGUUAUAUGUAGGGGAAUUGUUUAUGGGUUGGAACGUAAGGCUCUUUUUACUCCUUUAUCUUAUGACAUUCUGAUCUGAGUCAGUCCAUUCUUCCACCGGGGGUUAAGGAAUUAGGAUCUAUUCUCUCUAUCAGGAUCACAUGUUACUAAUCAGUAGUACCUUAUAAGUGUGAUGGAUACAAGCCUAGUUCAGUUCUAUUACCACAUUAUGUUGUUAGAAUGGAUUCAGAACCUGGAUAUGAUGAUGUUGAGUGUGUACGAAAUCCUUUGUCAAAUGUCUCAAAUCCUUCUUGAGCAUUUACAGCUGUUAUGCUGCCGAAAUUUUGCUAGAAAUUCUAAUGCCUUUGCAUUAUGAUUGUGCUUUCAGAUGGCCACUCGCGACCUCAAUCAAGUGGUUCGCCUGACUCGAUGCCUAGAUGUACCCGGCCAUACUGCCAAGUUGGUCAGGGUAAUGACUGAGGCUGGAUACCGCUGGUAUCCUGAGUACACGGUCGAAGAGCAAUUUCGGGACUUCAAUCAAAGCCAGUAUCUCUGCACUGUCCGGAUAUUUCCAUCUUAUCCUGGAUCCACCGAGCCCCUUCACUGCUCCUAUGGACUCGGGGUUACUAUUGAGAUGGCUGUGCAGGACGCCGCCUACUCUAUGAUGACCAUUAUGCGAGUCAGAUCUGGACUAUUUCGGGACUCUGAUUUCCGGUAUAUGCCAGGAUCACUUCCGGGAGCACAAGGGUAUCUCCAGGCUAUCUAUGCUGACCCCACUCAGGAGGAUUCACGGACUCGCACCACUGCUGAGAUGCUCGAGGAUAAGGACCGUGAAAAUCGGGCCUUGAGGUUAGAGCUCUUCAAUACCCGUGCUGACCACUGGGCCACUUUGACUCGGUUCGCACCGGCGGUGCAAGCUGGAUUUUCAGAUAUGCGCGAUCUCUAUCCUGUGAGAUCUGCUCUGCCAGACGUGAUGGGUUGGCGUGAUGUAGGAGGCAUCACCCCACCUCGCGGUCCCCGCAGGCCAUCGUCUGUUGGUCCAAGGCCUCAUCCUAGCCCCUAUGGUCCACAAGCUCCGCGAGAUCGUCUGUUUCCGGAUGAUCAUGUUGAGCUUCCAGGCUAUGGAGGUGACUUCUACGAGGACUACUACGGAUCGGUCUGAGUUAGGGGUAGUAUCACUAGUUCGCACUAGCUGUGUCAUCUAUCGUCCCGCGUGACUCGUGGGAUAUGACCUAGUUUGUACUCUUUCCGGAGGUGUAGAAAAAUAAUGUAUAGGAGCUUGGAAUGCCUCCGAUGAGAUGUAAUCCUCUUUUCACCGUAAUAGUACUCUGUUUGGUCUUGUACUAAACCCUGUAUGGUGUGUAUGACGAUGGAAUAAAGAAGCAGUUUCUGUAUUUACCAUGUCAUACGGAUGAUCAUCUUGCAUUUCGAGUUAUCCCUUACAAUUUAUAUCCUAUGUCGGAAUUUUAUCAUCCUGACUAAAUCAUUGUCUUGUUUACCUAGGAUGGUCAACACGCGCACUAACCCUGCUCCUCAAGAGCAGGCCGAAGGCAGUGAAGUCAGGGAUGCAAAUCUGCCUCAUCCCCCUUCCCUAGCCGAGGUUAUGAUGGAAGCUGAGAGAAACAAGCGGGAGACCAACCGUUUGUUGGAGCGUAUUGAACAGAACACGGCACACCAUCAGAGGACUAACAUGGUGUCACUCAGUGAUUUUAUCAAAUUACAUCCACCCACGUUCCACCACUCCGUCGAGCCUCUCGACGCUGAUGACUGGCUUCGCAGUAUCGCUCACAAACUGCGCUCCGCGCUGGUAGCGGAGGCUGACAAGGUCACCUUUGCUGCAUAUCAUCUUGAAGGCCCCGCCAGUCUAUGGUGGGAGAAUUAUGGAGCUAUGCGCCCAGCGGGCCAUGUCACUACUUGGGCUGAAUUCAGCGAGGCUUUCCGUGAACAUCACAUUCCGGAGGGUCUCAUGGACCGUAAACGUGAAGAAUUUUACAGUUUCACCCAAGGCCGACUUUCUCUGGAUGCUUACAGCAGGGAGUUUGGUAAUCUCGCACGAUAUGCAACUGAGGAAGUGUCUACUGAUGCCAAGAAGCAAGCAAGGUUCCGUAAGGGCCUUAGUCCUGAGCUUUGCCGUGACCUCCGUCUGCAUGAGUGCACAUCUUUUCAGAAACUUGUCAACAAAGCCAUCAGUGCUGAAACUGGUCAGACUGACUAUGACGCAACACGCAAGCAUGGCCGUGACAUGGGUUCCUCAUCCGGUGCUGGUCCUCAGAAGCGCCGCGUGUGGGUGCCCAACACCGCCCUGCCACCCAGGUUCACACCGAGGCCAUCUUUCCAGGCGCCUCGCCCUGUUCAACAGUCUGCUCCAGCCAAGCCCUAUGGGGGUCCAACCAACAAUGCUCCUCCACGUACCAGCUCCGUGACUUGUUUCAAGUGUGGGGAAUCUGGCCACUAUAUGCGUGAGUGUCCCCAGACCAACCCCAACCAGUCUGCUAAAGCUGUUGGCCGUGGCAAGCCGACAGGAAAAGUUUUCCACGCCAAGCCGGUCACCGCUUCACGUGGCCAUGUCAACUGUAUCUCUGCCGAAGAAGCUCAAGAGGAUCCCAACGUCGUUCUCGGUAUGCUUCUUGUUAAUUGCCACCCGACAUCUGUUCUUUUCGAUACAAGAGCCUCUCAUUCUUUUAUAUCCGAAAAUUAUGCUCGUUUGCAUAACGUUGCAUUCUGUGACAUGCCAUCCACUAUGGAAAUUUCUACUCCUGGUUCUAGAUGGCAGACCUCUAGGGUAAGUUAUGGAAAUGAAAUCCAAGUCGACAGACUUGUUUUCCUUGCAUCUUUGAUAGCCCUUAAAUCUUCAGAUAUUAAUAUCAUUCUGGGUAUGGACUGGAUGUCAGCUCAUCAAGCCAAAAUUGAUUGCUUCUCUAGGACUGUUCAACUCACCCAUCCUUCGGGGAAGAUAGUCAAUGUCUUGACCCGAAUAGCCAAGCGACAAUUAUAUUCUCUUAACGCUAGCCCUUUGCCAGACCUUGAGGACAUUCCGAUAGUCCGUGACUUCCCGGAUGUCUUCCCAGAGGAAUUGCCAGGUGUUCCACCUGACAGGGAUGUUGAGUUCGUAAUAGACCUCAUUCUAGGAACCGUUCCGAUUGCUAGAAGACCUUAUAAGAUGGCACCCCUAGAACUAGCCGGGCUUAAGAAGCAACUCGAUGAGUCCUUGAAAAAGGGUUUCAUCCGCCCUAGCUCAUCUCCGUGGGCUUGCCCCGUCCUAUUCGUCAAGAAGAAGGAUGGUACGGACCGGAUGGUUGUAGAUUACCGACCUGUCAAUUUGGUCACAAUCAAGAACAAAUAUCCACUUCCCAGGAUCAACGACCUGUAUGAUCAGCUCGCUGGAUCCUCAGUCUUCUCCAAGAUGGAUUUGAGGUUGGGCUACCAUCAAAUCAAAAUCAGAAACGGGGACAUUCCUAAAACGGCCUUUGUUACUCGUUAUGGCCAAUACGAGUACACCGUCAUGUCCUUCGGUUUAACCAACGCUCCAGCCACCUUUUCUCGGUUAGUGAACUCAAUCUUCAUGGAGUAUCUGGAUAAAUUCGUCGUAGUUUAUCUCGAUGAUAUACUCAUCUACUCCAAGAACGAGGAAGAACAUGCCGAACAUCUAAGGCUAGUGUUGAAGAAACUUCGAGAGCAUCGCCUUUAUGCCAAAUUUUCUAAAUGUGAAUUCUGGUUGUCAGAAGUGACCUAUCUGGGUCAUGUAAUAUCUGGUAAAGGUAUUGCUGUUAACCCUGAGCGAGUUCAAGCCGUCCUUAAUUGGACUCCACCUGAAUCGGUCAAGCAAGUUCGGAGUUUUCUAGGCUUAGCGAGCUAUUGUCGUCGCUUUGUCGAGAACUUCUCCAAGGUUGCUAAACCUCUAACCGAACUCCUCAAGAAAGAUAAGAAGUUCGAGUGGACUCCACAAUGUGAGCACAGCUUUCAGGAACUGAAAAGANNNNNNNNNNNNNNNNNNNNNNNNNNNNNNNNNNNNNNNNNNNNNNNNNNNNNNNNNNNNNNNNNNNNNNNNNNNNNNNNNNNNNNNNNNNNNNNNNNNNNNNNNNNNNNNNNNNNNNNNNNNNNNNNNNNNNNNNNNNNNNNNNNNNNNNNNNNNNNNNNNNNNNNNNNNNNNNNNNNNNNNNNNNNNNNNNNNNNNNNNNNNNNNNNNNNNNNNNNNNNNNNNNNNNNNNNNNNNNNNNNNNNNNNNNNNNNNNNNNNNNNNNNNNNNNNNNNNNNNNNNNNNNNNNNNNNNNNNNNNNNNNNNNNNNNNNNNNNNNNNNNNNNNNNNNNNNNNNNNNNNNNNNNNNNNNNNNNNNNNNNNNNNNNNNNNNNNNNNNNNNNNNNNNNNNNNNNNNNNNNNNNNNNNNNNNNNNNNNNNNNNNNNNNNNNNNNNNNNNNNNNNNNNNNNNNNNNNNNNNNNNNNGCGACAAGGACUAGGCUGUAUUCUCAUGCAAGAUCGACACGUAAUUGCUUACGCCUCACGGCAAUUGCACCCACAUGAGGAGAAUUAUCCUACUCAUGAUCUAGAGCUUGCAGCUGUAGUCUAUGCACUUAAGACCUGGCGACAUUACCUCCUCGGUAAUCGUUGCGAAAUAUUCACUGAUCACCAAAGUCUGAAGUACAUUUUCACCCAACCGGAUCUGAAUCUCAGGCAAAGACGUUGGGUUGAGUUGAUCACAGACUUCGACUUAGGAAUAACCUACACCCCAGGGAAAGCCAACGUCAUGGCUGAUGCGCUAAGUCGUAAAUCUUACUGUAACAACCUGAUGUUACAACAAAGUCAACCGCUUCUCCAUGAGGAAUUUCGGAAGCUUAACCUUCACAUUGUUCCUCAAGGUUUUCUUUCCACCUUGGUAGCAAAACCUACUCUUACGGAUCAAAUCAUCGCUGCCCAAAAGCGAGAUAAGGGAAUAUCUAAAAUCAAAGAGAACAUUGCUAGCGGAGGUGCUAGUUGUUUCUCCACAAAUGAUCAUGGUGUUGUGUACUUUGAGAACCGUCUAGUGGUUCCCAAGAACCAGCAUCUACGGCAGUUGAUCCUUAAGGAAGCUCAUGAAUCUCCUCUCACCAUUCAUCCCGGUAGUACUAAGAUGUAUCAGGACCUACGCCAGAGGUUCUGGUGGACUAGGAUGAAGAGAGAAAUUGCUCAGUAUAUUGCUAACUGCGACGUCUGUCGUUGUGUAAAAGCAGAGCAUCAACGGCCUGUUGGCACCCUUCAACCCUUAGCUAUUCCUGAAUGGAAAUGGGAUAAAAUUGGUAUGGAUUUCAUUACCGGUUUUCCCAGGACCAAGAGAGGGAAUAAUGCUAUCUUCGUCAUUGUCGAUCGUCUUUCCAAAGUAGCCCAUUUCUUACCUGUUCGUGAGAGUAUAACCGCUAGCCAGCUGGCAGACUUAUACAUCUCCCGAAUAGUGUCCCUCCAUGGUGUUCCUUUGGAAAUUAACUCGGAUCAAGGAAGUCUUUUCACCUCUCGAUUUUGGGAAAGUUUCCAAAAUGCUAUGGGAACCCGUCUCUCCUUUAGCACCGCUUUCCACCCUCAGUCGAGUGGUCAAGUGGAACGCGUUAACCAGAUUCUAGAAGACAUGCUUCGAGCCUCUGUUAUCUCAUUCGGAAUGGACUGGGAGAAGUGCCUUCCAUUUGCCGAAUUCGCUUACAACAACAGCUAUCAAUCUAGCUUGGGUAAAGCCCCUUUUGAAGUUCUCUAUGGACGACGGUGUCGAACACCCCUUAACUGGUCAGAGACCGGGGAAAGACAAUUCUUUGGCCCGGAUAUGAUUCAGGAAGCAGAAGAACAAGUUCGUAUCGUUCGUGAAAAGUUGAAAACAGCCCAAUCUCGUCAAAAGAGUCAAUAUGACCGAAAACAUAAGGCUAUGACUUUCGAGGUUGACGAGAAGGCUUAUCUUUGGGUCACCCCUCUGAAGGGAACCCAUCGUUUCGGUAUCAAAGGCAAAUUGGCUCCUCGUUACAUUGGACCUUUUCGCAUUCUCGCCAAACGAGGAGAAGUUGCCUACCAGUUGGAACUACCUCCGCACCUCUCCAGAGUCCACGAUGUCUUCCACGUUUCUCAACUCAGGCGUUGCUUCUCGGAUCCUAUCCGUGAAGUGGACCACGAAACGCUUGAUCUCCAAGAUAAUCUUACAUAUCGAGAGUACCCCAUUCGUAUCCUCGAUCAGGCCGAACGUACCACCCGACGUCAUAAUAUCAAGUUUCUCAAAGUACAAUGGUCGCACCAUUCUGAGGAUGAAGCAACUUGGGAAAGGGAGGAUCGUCUUCGACUCGAGUAUCCCGCCUUCUUCCCGGAGGAACCCAAAUCUCGGGACGAGAUUCUUUUGAGUGGGGGUGAGUUGUCACACCCUAGCUAGUCAUGCAUCAGAGUGUGUGCAUCAUGUUUAAAUUUUCCAUUUAAUUUGAAAUGGGGAUUUGAGAAACCCUCAGAAUCAUUUUUUGAAAAUGAUCCAAAUAAAAAUUUCUCCAAAAGGGUCCAAGAAAAUGCUCAUGUUGCUCUCUGAAAAUAUUGGACAGAGAUAAAAAUCAAACCAAUAUUUUUAAGAGCUCAUAGGUAUUUAUUUUGGGCAUUUGGAAUUAAUGCAUAAAUAUUUGCUUUGGAAAUAUAUUAGUUAUAUAUAUUAAUAUAUGUCCAAAUAUUAUGCCAUUUAUAAAGGAGCUCUGGAAUAAUAUAUCUAGCUCCUGCAAGAAAUGGCAUAAGGUAAAUAAAUGAUUUAAUAUAUUAUUUAAAUCAAAACAAAUGUCAGAAAAUUAAAAAAACAGAAAUAAAUAAAAGGAGGAGCUUACCUGGGCUCCUCCCUGUGCAGCCCAGCCAGCUGGCCGGCCCAGCCAGCAGGCGGCCCAGCCCGCCUCCCUCCUCUGUCGUCUUCGUCCUCGACAGAGGGAGGGGAGUGUGGCCGGCGCGCGCGCGCGCCACUGCGCCACGCCACCUGCUCGCCUGCCUGCCUGCCCUCCCCUCCUCCUCUCGAUGCCCCGGACGACGCCACGCCCCCUCCCCUGCUCUCUCUCACUCUCCCUCGGUUCUUCCCUCCUCUCCCUCGCUUCCUCUCUCACGGCCGAACACCACCAUCGCCGCCGUUCGCCAUAGCAGCCGUCACCGGCCACCCCUCGCCCCUCCGCUGAGGUCAGGAGCUCCGCCGCGACCCCCUCUUCCUCCCCACCCAGCCAAGCCUCUCCGGAAGCCCUGCAUCGCCGCCCACGUCGCCGUUCCCCUCCUCGGCCACCGGAGAUCGUCGCCGUCGAAUCGAGAGCUACCGGACGUCCCCGAGCCCGCUAACCAUCCCUGCAGCUCCGCGGUGAGCCACUGACCCGAUUCCCCCUUGCCCCGUCGUCCCUAGCAUCCUGUAGCUGCCGCCCCCUUGAGCUCCGAAGCUCGCCGCCGCCGUGCCUCGUCGCCGCCGUGGCUGGAGCCGUUGUAGCUCGAAGCCGAGCACACCAUCGUGCUCCACACCUCACCAGGAGCACGUAGCACGCACCAACACCUCCCCUAACGCCCUGCAACGCCAAUUCCGACCGCACCCGAACUCCGGCCGCCGCUCACGAGCUCGCCGUCGUCGGUACCGGCCACCACAGGCACGACCACCACCACCGUUCAACGCGCGGGAGCAAGGGCUCUCCAACGAGCCCAAGCACGGCCUCGCCCGUGCCCUGUAGCGCGUUUCCGCAUCGCGCCGCCGUCUCGGGCCUCGCCGGCGUCAUGUCGCCGGUGGGUUUGACCCACCUUGACCACGGCAGGACCCCCCUGUGUCCCUGACAGGUGGGCCCAGCCCUGUAGCUAAUUAGGAUUAGCACUAACCAAAUUAGUUAAACUAACUACCCCCCUGACACUGACCAGUGGGCCCCAGCGCCACUAAUUCCUAAUUAGGAUUAGUUUAACCCUGUUAAACCCCCCUGUCACUGACGUGUGGCCCCCACACGUCAGGUUUGACCCCAGCCAGCCACAGUUGACCACUGACGUCAUGCUGACGUCAUGCUGGCGCAAUAUUUAUAUUACUGGAUUUAAUUGAAAUCAGGAAAUUCCAGAAUAUUAUUUAAACUUCAAAAAUUCAUAACUUUUAUUCUGUAACUCCAAAUUGGACAAAUUAUAUAUGAAAAAUGAUCAGAAAAAUCCAAUCUAUCCAUCUGUACUAUUUUCAUGCAUGAUCAAACAAGUUAAAUUGAUGUUUUAAGCAGAAUAAGGAAAAUCACUUUAAAAGGCCAUGUUUGAGUUUGAAAUUUGAAUCUUUGAUUCAAAUUUAUUCAAACCCUUCUGGUUUUAGUUGCAUUAGCCCAACACACUCAUAUUGCCAUGUUUCAUGCAUGCAUCAUAUUGUUGCACAUUGUUUGGUGAUGGUUGUGUAUCGGUGUCCUUCGCGACAGGUUCUGCCCCCGAGGAGUACCGUGAUUACCCUAACGAAGAACCGUAUCAGUGCAUCGAACCAUCAGGCAAGCAACCAACCAUUUGAUCAUAUCGAUACAAUCCCAUGUUCUCGCUCCUGCUCUCUUUUACUGCAUUAAGACAACGCGUUUCAAACUGCUGUGUGCUACGGUAGUUGAACCCAUUUCCUCUGCAUGACCUGUCAUUGCCACAGUAACUAGAUGAAACCCACUAGCAUGUGUAGGAGUUGAGUGAGCCAUAUGUAUGUGUUGUUCCUACCUUGCUAUGCCUGCUAUGCUUAGAGUCGUGUCAGGUCUGGUUCGUCUGGGUGAUGGGCUAGAGUGAAAUGAUUAUGUCGGUAAUGAGAGUGGUGUGGUGAACACGAUUUGGUAAAGGUAUCGAUGAGAGGCCAUGUAGGAGUACAUGGUGGGUUGUUUCAUUGAAGCCGACCUUAAGCACUGAGAUCUGUAUGUGUGAUUUAAGAAUCAGCUACUACCAUGCAUUGGGCCCUGAAAUAUGACCCCGCUCGACUUCUUAUUCACCCUAGCGCUCUGUCCAGGAGUUGCAAGUAGUUUCUGGUGUUUGUAGUCUACUGGAGGCCGUGGACAGCGCUGACCGUAGGGGUGGGCUGUGAUGCGGUAGGUACGUGGCCGGGUGUACCGAAUACCCGUUAGGUAUCUCGGGAACCCUGUUCACAUCAUUCGGGGCCGUAUGGGAAACCUCGGCCGGACUCCCUGCGGAUGGAACCUGGAUAGGCGAUAAACCUGGACUAGAGGCUUAAGUGUUUAGGUAGGUCGUGGUCUACACCCACGUCGGCUUUCGCUUGAAGUCUGCCGAGCACAUGUCGUGUGCAGACGCUAAGUGGUGGAAACAUGUAUGAAGAAGUACACCCCUGCAGGGUUAUCAUAAUCUAUUCGAAUAGCCGCGUCCGCGGUAAAGGACUACUUGGUUGCCUAUACAGUUCAUAGACAAGUAAAUGGAAACUAAUAAAAGCCUCAAGACAAGUGUGAGUGCCGAGGAUGGCUCUUCCGUAGGAAGACGGAGGCGGAUCCUCGGUAGCGUAUUGAAUUGGUGAGUAGUGGACUCGUGUGCGCAAAACCAAUUCAAGUUGGAGUAUCGUAGGAUAGUCUAGCCAAGAGUCAAAGCUGGCUUGCUGCAAUAACUCCACCAACCCUUCUUGAUACUAUGCAUGUAUGUAGGAUCUGAUGUAAGUCUUGCUGAGUACCUUUGUACUCAUGUUGCUAUAAUUUACAUUUUUUUACAGAAGACGCUGCAACCCCUUCUGAUGGGUUCUAUGUAGACGUUGACAUCAACGAGUAGGCUAAAGACCCAGGUGGUGACCCCGAGCUUGUGAAGGACCACGUAGUAUAGCUAGGCUUUCCAAGCCUCUUUUAUUUUACUAGUUGUCUGUACUCAGACAAUGUACUUCCGCUGCUGGUUUGUAUGACUGUAUGACUUGAAUGUUGGGUCGUGAGACCCGUACCUUUGUGUAUGUUAUGUAUGGCUCCCUGAGCCUUAAAUAAAGUACUUGUGUCGUAGAGUCAUGUUGUGAUGCUUCGUUGUAUUUGCACAUAUCAAGCAUAUUGUGUGUAUGAUUGAAAUGCUUGGUAUGUGUGGGAUCUGACUAUCUAGUUGUUUAUCUUUAGUAGCCUCUCUUACCGGGAAAUGUCUCCUAGUGUUACCGCUGAGCCAUGGUAGCUUGCUACUGCUCUAGAACACUUAGGCUGGCCGGCAUGUGUCCUUCUUCGUUCCUGUGUCUGUCCCUUCGGGGAAAUGUCACGCUUUGAGUACCGGAGUCCUGUUAGCCCGCUACAGCCCUGUUUACCGGAGUCCUGCUAGCCCAGUGCUACAGCCCGGACCCACUUGCUGAUGACCGACACGUUCGAUGCUGGGUCAUGGAUGCCUGUCCCUGUAAGUCUGUGCCACUUUGGGUUUACGACUAGCCAUGUCAGCCCGGGCUCCUUAUCAUAUGGAUGCUAGCGACACUGUCAUAUACGUGUGCCAAAAGGCGCAAACGGUCCCGGGCAAAGGUAAGGCGACACCCGUGGGAAUACCAUGCGUGAGGCCGCAAAGUGAUAUGAGGUGUUACAUGCUAGAUCGAUGUGGCAUUGAGUCGGGGUCCUGACACACAAUUUGGUAUUAACUUGCGCCAUCGCGACAAGUAAUCCAACACAUAAGCAAACAAAAAGGCAAGCGAAAGAGAGAGGAGAUUAGGAAAGAGAGGGCGAAUAAAACGGCAAGGGUGAAGUGGGGGAGAGGAAAACGAGAGGCAAAUGGCAAAUAAUGUAAGUGUGAGGGAGAUGAGUUUGUGAUGGGUACUUGGUAUGUCUUGACUUGAGCAAAGACCUCCCCGGCAACGGCGCCAGAAAUCCUUCUUGCUACGUCUUGAGCUUGCUUUGGUUCUCCUUGAAGAGGAAAGGGUGAUGCAGCAAUAGUAGCAUAAGUAUUUCCCUCAGUUUUUGAGAACCAAGGUAUCAAUCCAGGAGGAGGCUCCUUAGAAGUCCCACGCACCUACACAAACAAACAAGAACUCGCAACAAACACAAUAAAGGGGUUGUCAAUCCCAUCACGGCCACUUGAGAAAGUGAGAUCUGAUAGAGAUAAUAUGAUAAGAUAAAUAUAUUUUUGGUAUUUUAUGAUAUAGAUUGGAAAAGUAAAGAUGCAAAUAAAAGUAGAUUGAAAGCUUAUAAGAUAAGAGAUAGCCUGGGGGCCAUAGGUUUCACUAGUGGCUUCUCUCAAGAUAGCAUAAGUAUUACGAUGGGUGAACAAAUUACUAUCGAGCAAUUGAUAGAAAAGCGAAUAAUUAUGAGAUUAUCUAGGCAUGAUCAUGUAUAUAGGCAUCACAUCCGUGACAAGUAGACCGACUCCUGCCUGCAUCUACUACUAUUACUCCACACAUCAACCGCUGUCCAGCAUGCAUCUAGAGUAUCAAGUUCAUAAAGAAUAGAGUAACGCAUUAAGAAAGAUGACAUGAUGUAGAGGGAUAAACUCAUGAAAUAUGAUAUAAACCCCAUCUUUUUAUCCUCGAUAGCAACAAUACAAUACGUGCCUUGCUGCCCCUGCUGUCACUGGGAAAGGACACCGCAAGAUUGAACCCAAAGGUAAGCACUUCUUCCAUUGCAAGAAAGAUCAAUCUAGUAGGCCAAACCAAACUGAUAAUUCGAAGAGACUUGCAAGGAUAACUUAAUCACACAUAAAAGAAUUCAGAGGAGAUUCAAAUAUUUCUCAUAGAUAAACUUGAUCAUAAACCCACAAUUCAUCAGAUCUCGACAAACGCACCGUAAAAAGAGUUACAUUGAAUAGAUCUCCAAGAAGAUCGAGGAGAACUUUGUAUUGAGAUUCAAAGAGAGAGAAGAAGCCAUCUAGCUAAUAACUAUGGACCCGAAGGUCUGUGGUAAACUACUCACAACUCAUCGGAGAGGCCUUGGAGAUUGAAAGGAUCGAUAUGGUUGACUAGAGGGGGGGGGUGAAUAGGCAACUAACAAUUUUUAAGCUUUUCUUUACCAAAUUAAAAUUUGCAACAAAAUAGGUUGUCUAGAUGUGCAACUAAGUGAGCAAUAUGAUGCAAUAACAACUAGCACAUAAGCAAACAAGGGAUAUAACACAAGUAGGCUUGCAAAAGUAAAGGCACGAAAUAACCAAGAGUGGAGCCAGUGGAGACGAGGAUGUGUUACCGAAGUUCCUUCGUUUUAAAGGGAAGUACGGCUCCGUUAGAGCGGUGUGGAGGCACAAUGCUCCCCAAGAAGCCACUAUAGCCACCAUAUUCUCCUCACGCCCUCACACAAUGCGAGAUGCCGUGAUUCCACUGUUGGUGCCCUUGAAGGCGGCGACCGAACCUUUACAAACAAGGUUGGGGCGAUCUCCACAACAAUUGGAGGCUCCCAACAACACCACGAAGCUUCACCACAAUGGAGUAUGGCUUCGAUGUGACCUCAACCAUCUAGGGUGCUCAAACACCCAAGAGUAACAAGAUCCACAAGGGAUAAGUGGGGGGAAUCGAAUAUCUCUUGGUGGAAGUGUAGAUCGGGCCCUUGUCACCCAAUCCCAAGAAAAUCAACAAGUUUGAUUGGCUAGGGAGAGAGAUCGGGCGAAAAUGGAGCUUAGAGGUGGAAGAGGUAGUCAACUAGAGGUAGAAGACUCCCCUUAUAUAGUCAUGGGAAAUAUCCAACCGUUAUCCACAUGUUCAGCCCGCGACACGUGGUACUACCGCUCCAGGGGCGCGGUACUACCGUGGUGGAGCACGGUACUUCCGCGACAGCAGCAGAGGCCGGGACUUGCCUGACUAGGGUGCAGUACUACCGCUUGCGUGGUACUACCGCUCCCCCUUACGGUACUACCACAAGGCAGGAAAGUCAUUGCCUACGAAGAGCGCGGAUGAAAUAAAUUACAUUCAUGCCUACUUCCGCUAAAAAAGAGGUAGUGCAAAAAUCCGACGCGGUACUACCGCGCACGAGGCGCGGUACUACCGUUGAGGCGCGGAUGUAAAAAAUUACAUCCGCUCCUACUACCGUGACGCCGCAGUACUAGGUAGGAGGGCCACGGUACUACGACUCCUGGGGAGCGGUACUAUCGUGGGCUCCCGCGGUACUACCGCGCUAGACGAGCGGUACUACCGUGGGGGCGCGAAUGUAAAAAAUUACAUCCGCCCCUACUACCGUACCGGAGUGGCACUAGGCCUGGGAGCCAUGGUACUAAGGCUCCAGAGGAGCGGUACUACCGUGACCCACAGCGGUACUACCGCUGGUACUUGCGGUACUACCGCAAGUACAGCAGUAGCCGUCAGAUUUCGGCACAACUAGGAUAACGAAGAGAUGCUCCAAAGUGCAAGGAAAGGUAGGACAAGUGUACGUGUUGAUUCCACCCAAACCUUUCCGACGCGGACCCCCUCUUAAUAGUAUGGCUCUCCUACGACUCAAAUCCACCAAAGAGAAAUGUAGAACAACUCCGACUUCAAUAGUCUCCGAGGGGCACCGAAUUGUCUCGUGCCUAGUGAUGAAGAAUCUGAGAAACUCAAGGCACACGAUUAGUCCGCAAAAGCAUUGUCAUCAAUCACCAAAACACCUAAGGGAUAAAUAUGCCCUUACAAUCUCCCCCUUUUUGGUGGAUUGAUGACAACACGGGAUUUGCACAUAGAUAAGAUAAUUUUGAGCAAGGGCAAACCCCACCUCUCUAAAAUAUAGACGGGCUCCCCCUAGAUGUGUGCAAUCUAGAUGAAUGCUUUGGACUGCAUAGCACACAAACUAGGAUCAACACUCCCCCUAUAUUUUAGAGACCAAGGCACGAUAAAUAACAUCAAAGUAGAGCAUAGCAUAAAGAUAGCACAAUAUAUCACAAGCUCGCUAGGAUAGAUAGAGUGCAUAUGUCUUACACCAUAAGAAGUAAAGCAACUGAGGUUCAAACGAGAAAGCAGCAAAUAGUUCAAUCGACAAAGCAGCAAACACACGACACACACGGCUCGCAAAUCCCUACACUCUCUCCCCCUUUGGCAUCGAGACGCCAAAAGGGCAGAGAGGACACCUACACACAAGAGGUGGCUCAAGCAGGGAACUCAUCCCAACCCUCUCCGUCGGUCUCCUCGGCAGCAGGGAUGGUCUCCUCGACGUCCUCCUCAGAAUCAGUCCACCUAAAGCAUUGCUUCUCCAUCCACUCGGCCUCUGGAGUGAUGCGCUCCUCAGACCCGCCAGACACGUCCUCACCAUAGAGCUGCAAGAUCUUCUUGUCCCUGCGACGACUCUCCUUGGACGCCACGUGAGUCCUGUACUGCCCCUUGGCUUGCAUGCAGAAAAGAGUCUUCAUCUUGUCCUUCAGCUUCUUGGCCCAUGAUGGCAUAGGAGAACUCUGGGAAGGCCUAGCAGCACGGCCCUCAGCAACAUCCUCGGCGCCAGCAUCCUCCUCAUCAACAGCAGCCCUAGCAGCAGUCGCCUCGACACGAGUGGUGGUGUUGGCCCAGUUGGGUUUGAUACACAGACAGAUGGGAUCAUGGCGAAUCCAGUCUGGAGCAAGGAACUCCUCACCAGGGAACAUCUUCUCCCAAGUCUUCGAGAUCAGCAGAAAUAGAUAGGGCCCAUAGAUAGGCACCUUGCGGUUGAACACUGCAAACCGAAGCUCACACCACAUGAUGUGUGAGAUAUCAAGGGGCUGAGACUGAGACGAACGAGCCUCCUCGCAAAUGAGCAUCAUAUCCACCAUAUAGGCAUGAACCUUGUCUUUGUCACCAAUGCGAGGGAACAAGGAGUUGCGGAAGAUGCGAUACAUGAUAUCCAGAAAAGAGUUGAGCACCAACGCUGUCUUGCCAUUGGCGAGCGCCUUCUCAACCAUGAAUGGUGCAAGCUUGUCCUUGUUGGCAGACUCAGCAUUGGCAUGGGGGCGAACACCCAUUGGAGUGUUGAGCCCAUCAUUAGGAACCUGGAGCAGAUCCAUGAACUCCUUCCAGGUAGCAGACAGUUGACGGCCAUUGGUCAUCCAGGUCAUCCUCCGCUCCUCAUUAGAGUGAAAGUAAACUGAGGCAAAGAACUGACAGAUAAGCUCAGGGUCAUAGUCAAGGUGAAAGGAUAUCACAUGCUCAAUGCCAAACUGCUCCACCAAGUCUAGAGCCUCUCCAAAGUAGUCACGGAACUUGUCCUUCCUCAUGUGAUGCAUAUCAAUCCAUCUCACAUCCACGUAGGUGUUUUGCUUGUUCUUGAUGACAUCCAGAUAGAUGUUGGUCUGUUGCUUGUUCCAGAACAGCUCAUAGCCUCUGACAGUGGAAUGAGGAUUCACAUACGGGUGAAUCUGCCUGAGACGGACGUACUCAGAUGGGGUUAUCUCAUCCAUGCCCUUAGCGGGCUCCUUGUGCUUGCUAGCUGAGGUCUUGACAUUGCGCUUGGAGGCAGAAGAGCCCUCUGGUACUUCACCUGGGUUGCGCAGACGCUUGGAGCCAGUGUCACGACUGGGAUUGGACCGGCGAGAGCCACCACCUGAGACACACAUGCAAAACACCAACGAACGCGAAGAAGAUCAAUGCAAAGGCCAUGGUAAAGCACAAGAAACACAUAGAAGACAUACGAGAAAGUUGUCAUGCGAUAGAUGUGAGCCACGGUAGAACUGCCAGUGCCUGCGGUACUAAAAAUAUUGGUACCGCUCCAAAAACGCGGUAGUACCGUGCGAGGUCACGGUAGUACCGUGGUUGGAGCAGAAGUAAAAUUUUAGUGCCGCAGCGAGUGCGGUAGUACGCUCCCGACGGGCGGUAGUACCGCGCCAGACAUGCGGUAGUACCACGUCGUGUGAGAUCCAAACGGCGGUUCGAAUCUGAAAAGAACCACGAAACAACGGCGGUGCUAUGGUGAUCAAAUCUAGCGCAAGACAAAAAUACAAGUAUAAUUCCUACGCAAUACUACGCUCCUUCAUCCUACUCUUGCAUAGAUUAAGCCUAGGAAUCUUAAGAACACACAAGUCUCCCCCAAAACCUAGAAACACCAAACACAAUCAACAAGGAGAGGGAGUUGGGGAAAGACCUUGGUCCAUAGCAAGAGCACGUGGUGGGGAACGAUCCCACCGGACGGAAUCACGGGAGGGCAGCCGGAGGAGGAGAUCCGGCGACGAAUGCCGGCUCCAUUCUUGAGCGAGGGAGAGAAAGAGACGACAUGGGGGAAGAACUGCGAAUGGGUAUGGGGAGUUAGAACUCCCCCUGCCCGUCCUUAUCCCCACGCGCCCAAACCGGCGCGGUAGUACCGCGUAUCAUCGCGGUAGUACUGCUCGGGCGGAAGUACCGCACCGAGGCAGUAGUACCGCUCACCCAGGCGGCAGUAAAAAGUUACUGCCGCGUGGGGAUGGUAGUACCGUGCUCCCACAUGCGGUAGUACCGUGGCUGGCUGCGGUAGUACCGUUAGCUGGCCGCGGUAGUACCGUGAACUCAAGACACAGCAUGUUUCAACACAAGAAGAAGGCCUUUGCACGGAAACUUUUCACACACAGGAAACCACAAGAGCACGCACAAACCAGAGGCAGAAAGACAACAAGAAACCACCAAGCAACAAAACCUCUCGAUGAGAGAGGGCGGUGGCUGAAGCCACCUAUGUUUGAGUUAGAUGGUAUGGCACCGCGAAGAAUUAUCCUUGGGCCCAUGACCAAAACUCGUCUUUGACGCACAAGUACCAUAAAAAUGGCUAAUGUGAAAGAGGUGAUCGAUUUAUGCAUAAUGGGGGGAGGGAGAGUUCUUUGAGAGAACAACACUCCCCCUAUGUCCAUGCCUACACCUAAACUAGAUAACAAGUUGAGUGUGGUGGGGGGUGCACGGGUUCAAGUCACAUUGCUCGAAUCAAUGAUAUUUAGCUCAUGCCUUAACUCGCGAAAUCUUGCUUCAUCCAAGGGCUUCGUGAAAAUAUCUGCAAGGUUAUCAUGAGUGUUGACAUACUUGAGCUCGAUCUCCCCUCGCCUAAUGUGAUCCCGGAUGAAGUGAUACCGAAUCUCAAUGUGCGUUGUCUUGAAGUGUUGCACCGGGUUGAGAGAAAUCUUGAUGGCACUUUCAUUAUCACACCAAAGAGGCACUUUGUCACAAAUGACACCGUACUCCUUUAAAGUUUGCUUCAUCCAUAGGAGUUGAGCACAACAACUACCGGCCGCCACAUAUUCCGCCUCGGUGGACGAGAGAGACACACAACUUUGCUUCUUGGAAGACCAACUUACCAAAGAGCAACCAAGAAAUUGACACCCUCCAGAAGUGGACUUCCUAUCCACUUUGUCUCCCGCCCAAUCGGAAUCCAUAAAUCCUUCAAGCUUAAAGUUUGCCCCUCUUGGGUACCAUAAGCCAAAGUUUGGGGUAUGAGCCAAAUAUCGAAAGAUUCGCUUGACCGCCACAUAGUGACUUUCCUUUGGUGCGUCUUGAAACCGUGCACACAUCCCCACACUCAACAUGAUAUCUGGUCUAGAUGCACAAAGGUAAAGCAAGGAGCCAAUCAUGGAGCGAUAUACCUUUUGAUCCAUCGUUUUACCAUUGGGAUCAAUGUCAAGUUGGCACUUGGUAGGCAUUGGUGUAGUAGCCGGCUUGACAUCACUUAGCUUGAAUCUUUUAAGCAUGUCUUGAGUGUAUUUGGCUUGGUUGAUGAAGGUUCCUUCUCUUCUUUGUUUGAUGUCAAAACCAAGAAAGAACUUCAACUCUCCCAUUGAAGACAUCUUGAACUUGGAGGUCAUGAGAGCGGCAAAUUCCUCAUUGAAAGCUUUGUUAGGGGAACCAAAGAUAAUGUCAUCAACAUAUAGUUGGCAUACAAACAACUCCCCUUUGACCUUCUUAGUAAAAAGAGUGGGAUCGAUUACCCCACUUCAAAUCCACGAUAUUGUAGCAACUCGGUAAGGUGGUCAUACCACGCACGUGGGGCUUGUUUAAGGCCAUAGAGUGCCUUAUCGAGUUGAUACACAUGAUCCGGGAAGUAGGGGUCCUCGAACCCGGGGGUUGCUUGACAUAGACCAACUCAUUAAUAGGACCAUUAAGAAAAGCACUUUUCACAUCCAUUUGUUACAACUUAAAGUUGAGAUGGGAAGCAUAAGCAAUCAACAAACGAAUGGAUUCAAGACGAGCAACAGGAGCAAAGGUUUCACCGUAGUCGAUACCCUCAACUUGGGAGUAGCCUUGUGCUACCAAUCUUGCCUUGUUGUGAAUGAUGUUCCCAUGAGCAUCUUGCUUGUUCUUGAAGAUCCACUUGGUCCCAAUGACGUUGUGGUUCCCCGAUGGCCUUAGCACCAAUCUCCACACUUUGUUGUACUCUAAGUUGUUGAGUUCUUCAUGCAUGGCAUUGAGCCAAUCCGAGUCUUCGAGCGCCUCAUAGACCUUUUGGGGUUCAACACAAGAGACAAACGCGUGAUGUUCACAAUAGUUUGCUAAUUGUCUACGAGUGCUUACCCCCUUUCUUAGGCUUCCAACCACGUUUUCCAUGAGAUGGCCUUGGGUGGUGAGCUUGGAAGCAAUCUUCGCGGCACGACGCUCUAAUUCCUCCUCGGGUGUGGAAGGAGGAGGGUUAACUUGAUCAUCUUGAGCGCCGUCUUGAGCUUGUUCUUGAUCUUGAGCUUGCUCAUGAUCUUGAACUUGCUCGAGGGGGAGAACUUGACCUUGGGCAUCAUUUAGAGGUUCACCACCAUCUUGAGGUUGAUCUUGCCCUUGGUCUUGUUCACGAGGAUGAGGGCCUUCACUUUGUUCUUUGGAAGCGUGUGGGUCUUGGGGAGGUGAUGGCUCCACUUGAGUGGAGCAUUGUCCUUCUCCUUCGGCCACAAGGGGUUCCUCAAUGGGUAGAAUUUGACCAAUACCCAUUCUUCUUAUGGCUUGGGGAGGAAUUUCAUCACCUACAUCACAAGUACCACUUUGCUCCACUUGGGAGCCGUUAUUUUCGUCAACUACACGUCUCCUCAAUGAGUCCGGUGGACUUGUUGAGAACACGGUAAGCAUGAGAGUUUGUAGCAUAACCAACAAAUAUGCCCUCAUGAGCUCUAGCCUCAAAUUUAGACAAACGAACACCUUUCUGAGAAUGAAACACUUACAACUGAACACCCGGAAGUACUUGAGGUUGGGCUUGUUGCCGGUGAGUAUCUCAUAAGGAGUCUUGUUCAAGCCUUUGCGAAGAUAGAGCCGAUUGGAUGCAUGACAUGCGGUGUUGAUGGCUUCGGCCCAAAAGUUGUAUGGAGACUUGAACUCCGCCAUCAUGGUCCUUGCCGCAUCCAUCAACGUCCGGUUCUUCCUCUCCGCUACACCAUUUUGUUUAGGAGUAUAAGGUGCAGCAUAUUGAUGCUUGAUCCCCUCAUCACCGAGAAACUCAUCCAAGGUGUAGUUCUUGAACUCAGUGCCGUUGUCACUUCUUAUUGUCAAGAUCUUUGCAUUGUGUUGACGUUGAGCUUCAUUUGCAAAGUCUAUGAUGGUUUGUUGAGUCUCACUCUUCCUCUUGAAGAAGUAUACCCAAGUGUAUCUUGAAUAGUCAUCCACAAUCACCAAGCAAUACUUUCUACCUCCAAGACUAUCAAAAGAUGGAGGCCCAAAGAGAUCCAUGUGAAGGAGCUCCAAGGGUCUCAUCGAGUAGAUGAUGGUUGAUGGAGGGUGAGCCUUUUCAUGAAGCUUUCCUUCGAUACAAGCACUGCAAGCACGAUCUUUGGCAAAACUAACAUUUGUUAGUCCAUGGACAUGGUCCCCCUUGAGAAGACUUUGCAAAGAUCUCAUAUUGACGUGGGCUAAACGGCGAUGCCAAAGCCAUCCCACGUCAACUUUAGCCAUUAGGCAUGUCGCGGUCUUAGUGGGUCGCUCCGAAAAGUUAAUCACAUAGAGACCAUUCUCGACAUGCCCAACAAAGGCUACUUUAAGAGUCUUGCUCCACAAGAGGGCCACGGUAUCAAUGUCAAAGAACGUAGCAAAACCCAUGAGUGCAAGUUGACAAACGGAAAGCAAAUUGUAUGCAAGGGACUCAAAAAGCAUGACUUUCUCGAUCGUUAGAUCAUGAGAAUGACAACCUUGCUGAGACCCAAUACCUUAGAAUGUGAUGCAUCACCCCACUCGACAUUGGUGGGCAUAGAUGGAAUCUCUUGCACGUCCACCACCAAGUCCUUGCUCCCGGUCAUAUGAUUUGUUGCUCCACUAUCGAGCAACCAUGAUCCCCCACCGGAAGCAAACACCUACAAGAGAUCAAUGCUUGGUUUUAGGUACCCAUUUAGUAACGGGUCCUUUGAUGUUAGUAACAAGGGUCUUGGGAACCUAAAUAGACCAUUCAAUGUACUCAUAAGGAGAACCAACAAAUUUAGCAUAAACAUGUCCAUCACUAGCACGACACAACACAUAUGACGGGUUAAAGUCGCCGGCUUUGUUUGAGGAAAUGCUUUUGCCCUUUUGGACGUCAACUCCCUUCACUUUUUCCUUCUUCUCCUUAGGAGCACCCUCUCCCUCUUUCACAAACGUUUGCUUGAGAGGAGGAGGACGUUUGGUCUUGUUGUUCUUCUUCUUCUUGCUCUUGGACUUGGGUGCAAACCCAAUUCCUUCCUUGGCCACAACUUCCUUUUGAUUGCUCAAAAGGUCGUUGAGGUUCUUCUCACCUUGAAUGCAUGUCACAAGACCUUUCUCAAGUUGAUCCUUCAACUUGGCAUUCUCCUCCACAAGAUGCACAUGCUCACAACACGGGUUAGUAGCACAUGCGUUAUCAAUUAAUACCAUAUGAGGAAAGGUGGCCUUUUCCUUGAUUAGCUUAACUUGGAGUUGAGCAUGAGACUCCUUGAGGUUAGCGUGAGCACCCUUCAAGACCUUGUGGGCCUUGUCAAGUAUCUCAAACUCCUCUUUGAGUCUAGCAUGAUCAACCCCAAGUUUAGCCUUCUCGGAAGUUAGCACACGAGACACGACAAGAUCAUGAUUAAGAUCUUUCUUUAACUUAGCAUGGUCAUCAUUUUGUGACUCCUCAAAAGUCAAACGAUGCACACGCUCUUCCUCGAGAGCAUUAGAGAGAUCCGAUAUCUCAUCGGCAUAGUCACGACGAUGACCCUCCAUCUUAGAGAUGGUUUCUUCGUGAGCCUCGAUCAUGUCAUUGGCCUCACCAAGUUGUUCCAAGAGAGCAACAAAGUGCUUCUUGGACUUACCCUUGAGCUUACUCAUAAAAGACUCAAAUUCAUUCACUUCCUCAUUAGACUCAACAUGUUCAUCAAUGUAAUCCUCCAAGGAGGGAUUAGUAAUGAUGGUGGUUGUGAUGUUGGGGGUUACCUUGUUUGAAGCUUUAGCCAUGAGGCACUUGGCGGUGAUGUUUUCAUUGGGUGAAUCAAAGAGAGACACCGAUGGAGUAGUAGCAAUGACAACGGAUGCCAUGGCCAUUGCUUCUCCACUUUCAUCAUCAUCGUCAUCCUCUUGGUAUUCUUCUUGAACCACCAACCCAUGAGUUGGAGUCUUCUUGGCGAAGUUGUUCUUGUUGGGGAAGGACUUGGCUUUGUCUUUUCGAAUGAAUUUGCCACCAUUGUCUUCCCGCUUCUCGUAAGGACAAUCCGCAACGAAAUGGCUCACAUUGCCACAGUUGAAGCAAGUUCUAACUCGUUGCUUGCCCUUGACACCACUUGAGUUGUUCUUGUUGAAGUUGGGUCUUGUAUUCUUCUUGCUCCAAAGUUGUCUUGAAGCAAGGGCCAUGUGCUCAUGAUAAUCAUACUUGGUGUCUUCGGGAUUGCUCUCCUCAUCUUCCACUUCUUCCUCUUCUUCCAUGAUGACCUUGGCCUUCAAAGCAAGGUUGGGCUUCUUUGCCCUUUGAGAACGGAGCACCGCAUUGUUGGCGGUCUUGUCCAAGAUACUCAUUGCAACGAACUCAUCCAACACUUCACUUGAGGUGAUGGAGUGGAAGUCCGGUCUUUGACGAAUGACGGAGGACAUGGCCUUUUUGUAGGGCAUCAUGGCCUUGAGGAACUUGCGCUUGAUCCAAUUGUCAUCCGUGUCCUUGCUUCCAUGAUCUCGGAGUGAGACCGCGAGUUUGGUCACUCUUCGAAAGAGCUCACGAGGUUCUUCAUCUUCUUUCAUUGCAAACUCAUCGGCUUCAUCUUGCACCACUUCAUAGUUGGAGCGUGGAAUGCUAGCACUUCCUCGAUAGAGAGACUCAACACAUUUCCAUGCUUCUUUAGCCAUGGCAUCAGGUCGAAGAUGAGGGAGAUCUUCCGGAAGGAUUGCGUCUUGGAUGAUGAAGAGAGCACUCUCAUUGAAUUGAUUGUCCACGGCUUCUCGAGGGGUGAAGUUGCUUGGGUCAUGAGGAUAGAAACCUUCUUCAAUGAUUCUCCAAAGGUUAGUGUUCACAUAUUUUAAAUGAUGCUUGAAGCGAUAAACCCAAGAAUCAAAAUCUUCAUGUUUCUCAUAUUUAGGAGGAGGACCGGCAUGAUUCAAAUGCGUGGAGGGGAUCGACCCUCCAUAAAUUGGGGGUUCCACAUGGGCAAAGAUGCCAGUGCCAUUUCUACCACUAUUAGAAGGACUCUUUUCACUGUUAGCUUCCCCCUUGCCGGAGGUAGCAUCCGUCACCUUGUUAGUGGGAUCACCACUUUCAUCGGCGAGGUAGAUUGUUUGAGUCCUUCUAGGAAUUCCUUAAACAUGUCCUUGACCUCAGUCGUCAUGGAGGUUUUCAAUGUUUCCAAAGCCACAUUGAAUUCCUCACGUGAGAUCGAGUUACCCCCAUCUCCCGUAGAUGAUAUCGGAUUCGCACCGGAGUGCUCUCCCACAUCAUCUAUGACAUCAACCAUACUCUUCGGACGGUAAAAUCCUUAAAAAGAGACGAGGCUCUGAUACCAAUUGAAAGGAUCGAUAUGGUUGACUAGAGGGGGGUGAAUAGGCAACUAACAAUUUUUAAGCUUUUCUUUACCAAAUUAAACUUUGCAACAAAAUAGGUUGUCUAGAUGUGCAACUAAGUGAGCAACCUAUAUGAUGCAAUAACAACUAGCACAUAAGCAAGCAAGGGAUAUAACACAAGUAGGCUUGCAAAAGUAAAGGCACGAAAUAACCAAGAGUGGAGCCGACGGAGACGAGGAUGUGUUACCGAAGUUCCUUCCUUUUAAAGGGAAGUACGUCUCUGUUAGAGUGGUGUGGAGGCACAAUGCUCCCCAAGAAGCCACUAGGGCCACCGUAUUCUCCUCACGCCCUCACACAAUGCGAGAUGCCGUGAUUCCACUAUUGGUGCCCUUGAAGGCGGCGACUGAACCUUUACAAACAAGGUUGGGGCAAUCUCCACAAUAAUUGGAGGCUCCCAACAACACCACGAAGCUUCACCACAAUGGAGUAUGGCUUUGAGGUGAUCUCAACCGUCUAGGGUGCUCAAACACCCAAGAGUAACAAGAUCCGCAAGGGAUAAGUGGGGGGAAUCGAAUAUCUCUUGGUGGAAGUGUAGAUCGGGCCCUUGUCACCCAAUCCUGAGCAAAUCAACAAGUUUGAUUGGCUAGGGAGAGAGAUCGGGUGAAAAUGGAGCUUAGAGCAACAAUGGAGCUUAGAGGUGGAAGAGGUGGUCAACUAGAGGUAGAAGACGCCCCUUAUAUAGUCAUGGGAAAUAUCCAACCAUUAUCCACAUGUUCAGCCUGCGACAUGCGGUACUACCGCUCCAGGGGCGCGGUACUACCGCAAGGCCGCGCGGUACUACCGUGGCGGACCACGGUACUUCCGCGAUAGCAGCAGAGGCCGGGACUUGCCUGACUAGGGUGCAGUACUACCGCUUGCGCGGUACUACCGAUCCCCCUUGCGGUACUACCGCAAGGCAGGAAAGUCCUUGCCUACGAAGAGCGCGGAUGAAAUAAAUUACAUCCGUGCCUACUUUCGCUGAAAAAGAGGUAGUGCAAAAAUCCGACGCGGUACUACCGCGCACGAGGCGCGGUACUACCGUUGAGGCGCGGAUGUAAAAAAUUACAUCCGCUCCUACUACCGUGACGCCGCGGUACUAGGUAGGAGGGCCACGGUACUACGACUCCUAGGGAGCGGUACUACCGUGGGCUCCCGCGGUACUACCGCACUGGACGAGUGGUACUAUUGUGGGGGCGCGGAUGAAAAAAUUACAUCCGCCCCUACUACCGUACCGGAGCGGCACUAGGCCUGGGAGCCAUGGUACUAAGACUCCAGAGGAGCGGUACUACCGUGACCCACAGUGGUACUACCGCUGGUACUUGCGGUACUACCGCAAGUACAACAGUAGCCGUCAGAUUUCGGCACAACUAGGAUAACGAAGAGAUGCUCCAAAGUGCAAGGAAAGGUAGGACAAGUGUACGUGUUGAUUCCACCCAAACCUUUCCGACACGGACCCCCUCUUAAUAGUACGGCUCUCCUACGACUCAAAUCCACCAAAGAGAAACAUAGAACAACGCCGACUUCAAUAGUCUCCGAGGGGCACCGAAUCGUCUCGUGCCUAGUGAUGGAGUAUCUGAGAAACUCAAGGCACACGAUUAGUCCGCAAAAGCAUUGUCAUCAAUCACCAAAACACCUAAGGGAUAAAUAUGCCCUUACAGAGAUGAUGUAGAGGCCCUCCAUUGUCGAUUCCCCUUCCGACGGAGUGCCGGCGAAGGCUCCAAGAUUUGAUCUCGCGGAUACAGAAGGUUACGGUGGCGGAAAUAGUUCUUCGUGGUGGCUUCUGAUGUUUUCGGGGUACAUGGGUAUAUGUAGGAGGAAGAAGUAGGUCGGUGGACGCUCGAGAGGCCCACGAGGGUGGGGGGCGCGCCCACCUGUAGGGGGCGCGCGGGGCACCCUCGUGGCCGCCUCCCUUGCUUCUUGACUUCCACUCCAAGUCCUCUAGAUCACGUUUGUUCCAAAAAGAUCGCUCCCGAAGGUUUCAUUCUGUUUAGACUCCGUUUGAUAUUCCUUUUCUUCGAAACACUGAAAUAGGCAAAAAAAAUAGCAAUUCAGGCUAGGCCUCCGGUUAGUAGGUUAGUCCCAAAAAUGAUAUAAAAGUGUAAAGUAAAGCCCAUAAACAUCCAAAACGGGUAAUAUAAUAGCAUGGAACAACCAAAAAUUAUAGAUACGUUAGAGACGUAUCACUUGGCCGCAUCAUUGAGCUCGUCAAUGCCGCCAGAGACGCCCCGACGCCCUCUCACUCUCCCUGCCCUCCACCGUCUCAUGCUUGGGACGUGGCAUGGUGCGCCUCCGCCAUCUCCCCUACGCAUCGACCUCGGCGAGCCCCGCCGUGACGCGCAUCCACGUGACGUGUCCCGUGGAGCGCCCCUGCCGGCACGAGACGAGGCCAGCUGCCAGAUCAUUCAUCAUGCGCUGCCCGAUGCGGCGUGCUCCUCGAGCAGCAACGCCAGCACCAGGCGGCGGCCGGGCGCCAGAAUCGUGCUGCCCUCGUAGGUGGAGUCACUUCAAGCAACGUGGUUUGCCGGGCCUUCACCCGUGAGCUGUGUUGGGUGGUUUGGCCCACCAAGUUCAAGCCAGAGCUGCCCCCACACUACGACGGCAUUCCCAACCCCACGGAGUUCCUUCAGCUCUAUGCACUGAGCAUCGAGGCGGUGAAUGGCGACGACGAGGUCAUGGCGAACUGGUUCCCCAUGGCCCUCAAGGAUGGCAUGCGCUCCUGGCUCAUGAACCUGCCUGAGGUGUCGAUCUCCUUGUGGAGCGAGCUCCGCGACCAGUUCAUCGCUAACUUCAAGGGCACGCAUGACCGCCCCUCACCAUCAAUGACUUGUGCACAUGCUGCACCUCCCCGGCGAGACCCUUCGCAAAUACAUCCAGUGAUUCAACUAGGUGCGCCAGAAGAUCCUGCGCGCCUCUGACGCGGCCAUCAUCUCUGCGUUCUCCACCGGCGUCAUGGAUGUCAGGAUGCACGAGAAGCUCGCCAUCAAUGAUGAGCUGGACUCGGUACUAGAGCCGUUUGACCUCAUGACAAGUGCGCCAAGGCUAAAGAGGGGCGCCUCUUCGUCCACAACGACUCGAUGCCGCGCUAGACGACAACAAGGCCAAGGGCAAGGACGUCAAGUGCAAGCGCGGCCAUGACCGCGACCAGCCCGAGAAUGAAAAUCGCCCGUUCUAUGUGUACCACAACAUGCGCACCCACAACAACGAAGACUGUCAGGUGCUCAAGUCGCUCCAUGACAAGCGCUUGGGCCGCCGAGGAGACCACAAUGACCGCGCCACCGCCCGUGGAGGAGGCCGUAGCGGCGGCCGAUGGGACAACCGCAACGGCAACGGCAACCCCCUCCAGGGCUGGCGUGAUCAGCCUCGUGAGGGUGCUUGGUGUGAUCAGCCUUGCGAGGCACGUCCUCAUGACAAUGCCGCCCUUCCGCCGCUGCCGCCACCACUAGAAGGAACGACAUCGACUAGCAUGACGAGGGGGCUAUGGGCUAUCAAGAGCCUCACGCGAUAGCCUGCAUCCUCGGGGGAGCCCAGGCUCCCGUGUCCAAUCACCGCUUCAAGCAGUUCUCUUGGAGGUGAACGCCGCCCUCCCGAGGCUUGAAACUGUUCGGCCCCUCAAGUGGUCGCAGUACGCCAUCACCUUCGACUCCAAGGACCACCUCAAGUCCACGGUCGCAGCAGGCGCACUUCCCAUGCUAUGCGCCCCCACCAUCAACAACGUCGCGGUCACCAAGACCCUCAUCGAUGGGGGCGCCAGCCUCAACGUGAUCUCCAUCGAGACCUUCAAGACGCUCCAAGUGCCCUACGACCAACUGAUGCUGACCAGGCCCUUCACCGGGGUGACAGAUGGGUCUACCACCCCCUGGGCAAGUGCGCCUCCCUGUCACCUUCGGCACCCGCCACAACUACCACACUGAGCUCAUCAACUUCGGUGCGGCGCACAUCGGCCUCCGCACAAUGCCAUCCUGGGAUACCCGGCACUCACCAAGUCCAUGGCGGCGACCCACCACGGUUACAACGUCCUCAACAUGCAUGGCUGCAGCGGCAUCAUCACCAUCGCCUGUGACAAGAAGGGCGCGUUCUGCUCCCGCCGCGAGCACGCCUAUAGGGCCGUCGCGGCCACGCAUUCGGAUGACGAGGACUCCGCCAGGCCCCCCAAGGCCGCUCCCGCGCAGAAGAAGCAACUGCUCCCCCAAGACUGCACCAAGACGAAGAAGGUGGCGGUUGAUGGCCGCGGCUCAGGCCCUGCCUUCGCUAUUGGCGCCUGCCUUCCUCCCGCAUAGGAAGGCACGCUCAUCACCUUUCGGCAAAUUUGGAUGUCUCAUCCUGGAAAGCAUCUGACUUGUCUAGUGUGCCGACGGUCUUGAGGCCGCCUCGGGAGGCCUACCUCGCGAGGCCGCCUCAGGAGGCCUACCUCGUGAGAAGGCCCUUUUGGGGCCAUGCAUGUCUCCAGGUCCGGCGCAGCACAACUUGAGAUGAAGGAGGGUGUUCCGGUGCAAAACAAAUGGAACAUCCAACAUCUUCGCAAGUUCUAUUCGUGAGCCCAUGGAUAUGAGUGAAAUGGAGCUGUACACGCUUCAGAGCUCUCACUACCUGUGCUGCCAUCGGCACGUGAGAGCUCCCUCCCACUCUCGUGGAAGCCCCAUGCUCAAUGCUGGCGGACUACGUAUGGAGCUGUACAUGCUCCGGAGCUCUCUUUACCAGUGCUGCUACGAGGCACACGAGAGCUCCCUCCCACUCUCGUGGAAGCCCCUUGCCCCAUGCUAGCGGACCACUUACCUGAGGGUGCCCCAUGGGCUGCACCAACCUCAAGCUGAUCCGUGCCAGACGCGGCAGUCGCAUCCCUUGCUUCAGUAAAGAUUUGAUUUCCCAUUCAUGGUGUGUUCCGUUGUAAUUUUACCCCACAAGCCAUGCGUGCUCACGACCUCCCUCUUGAGACUCACACGAGCGGGGGCUAGACAUGGUGCCUGUGCUCGGGUCAGUCCCAGCAACACUAAAAAACCCAAGUAACCGGGCUUUGGCUUGUGGGCCAGCUCCCGUGCACGCCACCCCACCAAGGUCCUUGGUGUCUUAUCUCCUCGCAAAACGCUCAUGAGCGAGCCAACGAGUGUGCGCUGCUUCCUUGCGGUGAAGCCUUCUUGGUGCAGUUGCCUGGGGGGCUAGCCCAAGGCGACCAUCUAAGCAGGAGAUUUCGUGAGCUGAAGCCUCGCGGGACACACCCUGUCGGCUACGGUUCACCAGAUUCUGCACUCUGCAAAGCUAAGUCCAAAUAUCUUGCAAGCCACCCUUACCACCUCUCGAGCCUCCCCCUCGGGUAUCCUCUAAUGCUGGCGUUUUCAUUCACGCGAGCCACUUGUGCGUCAAAGGGGAGCUUUGGGAGCAUCGUGUCUCAGGAGCCCUCACUACCUCUCGGUGCACCUCACCUCCUGGCCUUGUUAAGGCAUCGUGACCUGACAUACCAGCGCUGGCUAAGGCUCACUCAAGAACAAUGUAGAGCGCAAAGGCAAGCAAGAAAGGAAAAACAAGCCUCAGGAGGAGGCCUCAAGAGAGCGCGAGCAUUCAUUAGAUCAUUAAAUGCUUAAGCAGAAGUUAUUGUCUUCACGCCCUCACAGGGGCACAAUUAACUAUGAGCAGGUUAACGAAGGAAUAGUCUAAGGAGACAUGUCACCACUGCCGAUGUGGCCGCCGUCCUCAUCUUUCUCGGCUCCGCCUUGGCCAUCACUGCUAAAAUGGGCGAACCAGUUGCGUGUUGACCAGCGAUGGCCACCCAUCUGGGAGGCCUCGCAAGAUGAAGGCUUUGGGGGCUGAGCCUCAAGAGGUGUGCCUCGGGAACCGUGUGGAAUCCUCAUGAGCCGUGACUCGCUCAGCACCACUCUCUGCAAAAGCUAAGUCCAACCGCUUCACGAGACGCGAUUGUCAUCACUAAAGUUGCCUCUUCUCACGACUUUAGAGAAGGUUGGCGCCUUUCUCUUCACGCGAGCUGCCUGCACGUCAAAGGGGAGCUCCCAGAGCAUCGCGUCUCAGGAGCCACACUAGCUUCCGGUGCUCCUCACCUCCUAGCCUUGUUAAGGCAUCGUGACCUGACAUACCGGCGACGACCAAGGCUCGCUUAAGGGCUGGGUCCUAACGACCUAGUGCACUUAGGCGAGCAAGAAAAAAGGGGCAAGCCUUGCAAGGGGACCUAAAGAGGGAACUUAUAUUUCAAACCACAAAAGCUUUGAAUUAAAAUGCGGAAACCACUGUAUUCACACACACACACACACACCCAUGGGGCCUACGUCAAUCCAGUGCAGGAAAAAGGAGAAAAUGAAGAAAGAAGCUUAAGGUGGGGCGCAGCCAUCCUCAGGACUCUGAUACGUCUCCAACGUAUCUAUAAUUUUUGAUUGUUCCAUGUUGUUAUAUUAUCAAUCUUGGAUGUUUUAUAAUCAUUUUAUAUCAUUUUUUGUACUAACCUAUUGACAUAGUGCCAAGUGCCAGUUGCUGUUUUCUGCAUGUUUUUUUACAUCGCAGGAAAUCAAUACCAAACGGAGUCCAAAUGCAACGAAACUUCACGGAGAAUUUUUUGGACCAGAAGACACCUAAUGGGCCAAGGUUGCGCCUGGGGGGGUGCUAUGAGGAGAGCACAACCCACCAGGGCGCGCCACGAGGCCCAUGCGCGUCCUGGUGGGUUGUGCCCACCUCGGGUGCCCCCCGGACCGCCUCUUUGCUCUAUAAAUACCCCAAUAUUCCAAAAACCAUAGGGGAGUCAACGAAAAUCAAUUCCAGCCGCCGCAGAGUCCAGAACCACCAGAUCCAAUCUGGACACCAUCACGGAGGGGUUCACCACUUCCAUUGGUGCCUAUCUGAUGAUGCGUGAGUAGUUCUUUGUAGACCUUCGGGUCCGUAGUUAGUAGCUAGAUGGCUUCCUCUCUCUCGCUGGAUUCUCAAUACAAUGGUAUCUUGGAGAUCCAUAUGAUGUAACUCUUUUUGCGAUGUGUUUGUUGGGAUCCGAUGAACUUUGAGUUUAUGAUCAGAGCUAUCUUUUUAUAUCCAUGAAAGUUAUUUGAGUUUCUUUGAUCUCUUAUAUGCAUGAUUGCUUAUAGCCUCCACUACAAAAAAAUACACUUCCGUGAUGAUACAUGUUUGUCAGAGUACGUCGCGUUUUCUGUCAUGCAUGUACAUCCAUGAUGAUUUUAUGACAGAAUCAAGAUUGUCAUACCUGUGCUGUCGUAGAAGUGUUCCAUGACAUUACCAAAAUUAUCAUCACGGAAGUGUCCACUUCCAUGACGAUAAAUCGCGCGUCACAGAAGUGCUUUCGUCAAGGGUGACCGACACAUAGCAUCCACCAUAACGGAACGCCGUUAAGCUACCGGGUCCGGUUUUGGAUCCGAUAACCCGUUAAUUGCCCCGACCAAUGGGGAUUUUCCACGUGUAAAAUCAUCAUUGGCUGGAGGAAACACAUGCCGGCUCACCGUUGGGACAUAUGUCAUCCACUCAUUAGACCAAAGGCGCCUAUGAUACGUCGACACGUGGCACGGCCCAAUAGAGGCCCAUUCCUGUGAAAAGGCCGGCCUGUUUGACUUGGUCAAAAGGUGGUGGGUCGGCCCACGGAAAGCCUGUUAACGGCAUGUUCGCAUAUAGCCCAUUUACAGCCCGCUAACACAGGGCCCGUUACGGCCUAUCUGAAUUAGGCCCAGUAGCGUCAUCUGGACCGUCCAAUAUGAUUCCAGCCCAUUUUAACUUCCGGCCCAUGUAUGGCCCAUGACGUCUUUCGGCCCAUAUGAGACCCUUUGUAACUCUUGGCCCAUUAACAGCCCGUGGUGAAACUGGCCCGUAAUGAACAGUGUACCACUUUAUACCCAUUAACGGCCCAUUAUUCCAUUGGGCCGUUUCUAGCCCAUGUUAUCUUUCGGCCUUCUCAGGACCCAUUUAUUCUUGGGCUCAUUUACAACAUUUGAUUACUUACGGCCCGUUACUGUCAUUUUCUGCUUGUGGGCCAAAUUCAGCCCGUUGUUACAGUCGUCCCGUUUGUGGCCCGUUAAUACGUUGGGACAUUUUCAUAGCGUCAUCAAAUACGGCCUAUUAACGACGACCCAUUCUGGUCGGCCCAUGAACGGACGAUUCCAACUCUAGCUCGUUUACGGCCAUAAUGCGGUCUGUUAUUGGCCUAUGUUUGGCCAAUCGAUCAUACGGCCCAUAUAAGGCCCAUUGAUGAUACGACCCAUAGAAGGCCCAUUGUGUCUACGGCCCAUAAAAGGCCCAUUGUUUCUACGGCCGGUAGGAGGCCCAGUGUCACUACAGUAAAUAUGUAGCCCAUGGUUAUUGUGGCCUAGUUUUAAAAAAUAGGUUAUUGCGGCCACUAGCAAACCGCGGAAAAAGAACUGCACUGACUACAAGCAAACAAAUGAACAAGACAACAAGGAAAUAAAUAAGCAAGCAACUUACGCUAGGCUAUCACGACUAUUACACAUAUUACAUCCACUGGGCAUCAAAGUUCGCCACCAGUGCAAAUAUAGGGAACAAAGCAACAUAUAAAUGCCGCAGCAAAACAAGUCCAGAACUGAAACCACUUCAGAAGAGCUCAAGAAACAAUAUCCUGGGUACCCAUAAUGCUGGCAAGAUGCUUAGCAAGCUUAUUAACUUUCUCUCUUGUUUGCCGCUUAAAUCCUCCAGCGCUUGAUGUUACACAGGAAAGUACGCAUCUGAAUUCUGCAGGGACUUCCUCAGUCCUUAGGCUUCUUGCCGCAGCACAGCUGACUGAUGCCUUUCAGCUUGUAGCUAAGACUGAAGAAGCUUAAGUGAUUCAGGUAGCGAGUUCGAAGAGCUUGUGCCAGCGGUACUGGCCAGUAACUCGAACACUACAUCAACGCAGGACUGUGGGGUUUUCUCACUGUCUACAAGAUCGUUUUUAUCACCUUUCUUGGAGACAAACAGGGUUGUCUCACUAUCUUGAAACUUAUUUGCAUUACUUUCUCUACCAUUGGAUAGUGGGGUGCUCUUCUCCAAUAUUUUGUUUGCAUACUACAAGAGAAACAAGCAGACACAUGACAGGUUUAGCAUGUAGUAUACGAAACUCAUUUUGGUAAACCGGUCCAGUAGUAAGGUGGACAGGAUAACAGCAUGGAACAAACAUAUAUCUAUCUACUAUGAUCACUGUAUUGUCCAUAUCAUUCUAGUUUAUGUUGCCUAAUCAAGAUAGAGACACAGUUCAACUCAUAUAUUUUUAAGACACAUCAGCAUAGACAGAAUAUAUGUGUGAGAAACUACACAACAUUGGCAACACUUGUAAUGUGCAUCACAUGAGAAUAUAACUGUUUAUACAACUUAAACCAAAAUCAACAUAGUGCAAGAAGUUAGAACAGCAAUCCAGUUAAAGAAAUAGGUUUAAAACAUACCUGUUGCGCCAUUGGAGUUUCAAUUGGAUCCUUCGAUGAAAGUAGUUGGUAUGAGUAAAUACAGUGAUGCAACAACAAAGGAGUAUGGACCAUAGCUACGGAAUCUGACAUGAGAACAGUUGCUCUUCUGCCUUAAACAUGGAGUUUGGGUUAGUUGUGGUGGUCUUCGUGCUUUGGGCACUGUAGUUGCUUUACAAACUGCUCGUGUGGGGGUACUCUGUGGUGGACAUGGUGCUUUGUUAACUAGAAGUGGGUUACUAUCCGCUGGGGUUGCGGUUAGAUGGGUUGUAGCUGGUUCUCUGCCCAACGGUGUAAGUGUGCAAUCUGGAAGAGUCUUAAUUAUGUGUGGUGGGGCUAGUUUGUGGGCCAAUACAACCAUGGAUCUAUCUGCAUCGACGGGUAGCACUGUCUUUUGUGAAGAAUGGGUUUUUGCUCCCUUAGAUACUGCCAUCACCCCCUCCAAUUCAAAUGGCUGAUAAAAAAGAAAAGAAAUUGAACGUACAGACAUUGUAUAUAGACACAUGUGGUAAUUCACAUAUAUGUUGUCUAACCAAACAUGACAACAUGACACAAUUUCACAUAUAUGAUGCCCAACUAAACAGGAUAGAAUGACACAGUUUCAGAUAUAUGAUGGAUAACUUAACAGGAUAUAAUGGCAUAAUUCAACAUAUGAUGAGUAUCUAAAUAGGAUGACAUGACAAAACUAUAUGAUGUCUUUCUAAAAUAGGUUGGGAUGAAAUAAUUCACAUACAUGUUCUCUAAGUAUACAGGAUGGCAUGAUAUAAUUGACAUAAUUGAUUCAUAUACUAAGCAGCUGGCACUCGCAUGUAUGAUCUCUAAACUAAGCAGGUGGAAUAUAAUAUUGUGCAUAUGAUGUCUAAAAUAAGCAAUGCAAGACACCAUAUGCAUGAUAUGAGAAAUAUAAACAUUGCAACUUAGAGCAUACACCUCAGGUGGGAUAUAGGACUGGUCAUCUAUCUCUGAAUCCUCCUCUGAGGAGCUCCCUGUAACCAUCGAGAUAUAUGCUUCAACAGGUACCAUUGCCUGCUCUGAGGACCUUGUUUUCACUCCAGAUUUUUCCAUAACCGGCUCAAAUGGCUGAUACACAUGAAGAAUAGUUCAAUAUACACAAAUUUUCGACAAAUGGAAUACAUAAUGAAAAAAAAGAUGUCAUGAGAUAAUUCACAUAGAUGAUGCCUGGCUACAUGGCGGUGCAUAAUUCACAUAUAUGAUAAUUGGCUGAAAAACAUGGCAUUGCAUAAUUCACAUAUCUAAUAUAGAAAGCAAACAGGAGGCAUUCACACAAGGCAUGUCUAAUCUAAGCAGAUGGCAUGGCAAUGCAAGGCACCAUAUGCAUGAUAUGAGCAAUAUAACCCUGCCAAGUUAGAGCAUGCACCUCGGGGGGGGGGGGAUAUGACUGGUCAUCUGUCUCUGAAUCCUCCUCUGAUGAGCUAUCUGUAACCAGCAAGAAAUCUGCAUCGACACGUAGCACUGACUGCUCAGAAGACAUUGUUUUCACUCCAGAUUUUCCCAUGACCGACUCAAAUGGUUGAUGCAUAGGAAGAGUAGAUGAAUGUAUAAACAUUGUUCACAAAUGGAAUACAUUAUAAAAAAAUAUGGCACGAUACAAUUCCCAUAUACGAUGACUGGCUAAACAGGAUUGCAUUGCAUGAUUCACGUAUAGAUACCAAACAGGUGGCAUUCACACAAAGCAAAUCUAAACUAAGCUGAUGACAUAUAAGAUGUAUAAUGUAAGCAGUGCGAGGCGCCAUAUGCAUGAUAUGAUCAACAUCAGCAUUGCCAGGUUAGAGCAAACACCUCAGGUAGUAAAUAGGAGUGGUCGGCUCCUUCUGAAUCCCCAUCUGAACAGUUAUCUUCCUCUGGAAUACAAUCUAGAAAUAUGGGGGGGGGGGGCACUUCGCCCACCAUGGAGCGGCGUCUGCAUGACAUUAUAUUCCCACACAACGGUAUUCUCUUUUUCUCUACAUGUUCAGUACGAUUGUGUACAAUAUCUGACAUGCAUAUUAAAAAAAUAGUUAGAUUUUGUAAGGCCUAAGGGGUGCAUGCAAAAAUCAAGACUGAUGGUAGCAAACGAGUGGAUGGAUCCAAAAUUAAUGAUAGCAGGUAGAUUAUAGCUUCAGUUUAAAAAGAUAGACAAUGGAUCAUCUAUUGUUUGUUGCCCACCCAACAUGAACCACAUAGAAGACCCUAGAUGAACCAGAUAGUAGACAAAUACUAUUCAUUGCUGCCUGGGUAUGAGACCCACGGGCAUUUUAAAACUCAAGUUUGAGCGAUAAAGUAGCAGGUAAUAAUAACCGAUGUAUAACGUAAGCAAACACGAAAGACUGCGACCUCUCUUCCGAAACUAUGUAGUCCUUAGGUUCACCUGCUCAGUCGAUGAUGGUAAUGCAGUUGGCAUGGCUGCCACACACAGAGUUUUUUUUUACGCCUAUCUGAAAAUGAAGUAAAUCUGUAAGGGCUCCUUAGAAUUGGAGGAUUCUAUAAAUGCAGGGACAGGAAAAACACAGGAAUAGGAUAGGAAUGCACGUGCAAAACAAAGCAUUUGGAAACAUAGGAUUUCAGUCAACCUGGGUGUUUGGUUCACAUGAAUUGGAAGAACACGGGAAUGGAGAAACAUGGUCAAAUUAAAGUCAAACCACAUGAAAAUGGAAAAAUAAGAAUCUUACUAUGCCAGUAAUGCAAUUAGUUCUGUUCUUCAUGCAUAUUAAUUUGAAAAGGAUGUCCAAGUGAAUAUUAAAAUUCCUACAUUUUUUUCUUCGAAAGAGACACCAAAGGAAAAAAUCCUCCAGUUUUGCUUUGCUCCGCUCCUUCUAACCAAAUGCAUGAAUAGUAGUACCAUAGUAGUUCCAUAGCAAAGGACCCCUGAGGGAUCGACAUGAAUGCAGAGUAACAAAGUGAUGCGUCGAGUGUACAACCUCUUUGGCAUAGCCUUGUGGACCUCAGCAUUAUUGGGUUGGAUGUGGAGGAUGGUGAUGCUGGUGUGACUGUCGGAGGCGAGGAAGAAGAUCUAAGGACUCGGGUGAGGUGGUAUGCGUCAAUUAUUGGGUCGAGUACUAAGGCAGCCGAGCCCCCGUGACGGAUACUAGUCGGAUGAUCCCUGCGAUCGAAGGUGAUCGGACAGGCCGACCAUGGGUUGAAUUUGGGGGCGACAGGCUCUAUAGCAUAUAUGUCUCGGAGUGCGCGUUUGCGCUCCCUCUUUGGGAUAUGAGUGACAUAAAUCAUGCUCACUGUUUUGACCUCCGGCGGAAUUACUUCUGUCCCCCCAUAUUCGGCUAGUCCUUGUCUUUGCUUUGCGGUCCCUUCCCCUUGUGUUCGGCGUUGAGCUUGCCGGCCUGCUUGAAGACCCAAUAUUCUUUGUUGAUAUGAUUGGCUGGUUUGUCGGGGGUGCCAUGAAUCUGGAAGGACCUUUCUAGAAUUUUAUCUAGGCUAGAUGGACCAUCUCUGCUGCCUUUAAGUGACUUUUUUCGUUGACCGGGUCUGGAGCCCUUGAAUCCGACGUUUACCGCUGUAUUGUCCGGGUUUUCUUCGUUGUUCCUACGUUUGUUUUUAUUGCACGGUGGCUUUCCAUUGCCAUCCCUGACUUUGGAUGUGCCAGGAUCGCUGGUGCUGCUAUGGGACAAUCAGCUGUCCUCUCCCGUGCAAAAGCGGGCCAUGAGUGUAGUUAAGGAUGCCAUUGUCCUUGGCUUUUCCUGGCCUAGAUGUCUGGUGAGCCAUUCGUCCUGGACACCGUGUUUGAAAGCUGCUAAGGCUUCGGCGUCCGUACAGUCUACGAAUUGGUUCUUCUUAGUGAGAAAUCGGUUCCAAAGCUUACAUGCCGACUCUCCGGGUUGUUAGGUUAUGUGACUUAGAUCGUCUGCAUCCGGAGGUCGGACAUAGGUCCCUUGCAAAUUGGCCCUGAAAGCGUCCUCAAGUUCUUUCCAGCUUCCAAUGGAAUUUUUGGGGAGGCUUUUCAGCCAGUGUCAAGCUGGUCCUUUUAGCUUGAGGGGUAGGUAUUUGAUGGCGUGGAGAUCAUCUCCACGAGCCAUGUGGAUGUGAAGAAUAAAGUCUUCUAUCCAGACCGCAGGGUCUGUUGUUCCGUCGUAUGCCUCGAUAUUCAUGGGUUUAAACCCUUCUAGAAAUUCAUGAUACAGCACCUCAUCGGUGAAGCACAAGGGGUGUGUAGCACCCCUAUAUUUGGCUGUGUUGCGGCGCGGGCCCGACGGUUGCAGUGUUCAGUGUUGGUUCUGAACUGGUAAGUUACCUGCAUAUUUGGUUUGAUGGCCCUGAUCCUAUGUGGGAACGCGUUCCCCAGAUCCAUAAAUGGACCUGGUUCUGCCAGCCUUUUUGUCCAGGUCUUCAUGUAAAUCGUGUUUCUGGUUCUGGGUUGCGACCUCCUUUCCUUUAUGGGGUGCGGUUUUGUGUGCGGCAUUAUUAGCCGCUUUAUGUCGACUACGAGGUGGUCAGCCUGGUUGGUCGGCCAUAUUGUUAUUCGGCGAUAUGGGCGCAAUAGCAUCGUCGUCGAAUUCGGGCAGCAGUUUGCGUUUGGGGUAGCUCUUUGUUUGGCGAUUACGGCCGUAUUUUUCCUCAGUGUCGAGCACUUCGUUCCAUUUGUUAUUGAGUGUAUCAUGUGCGGCUUUAAGCCGUUGCUUCUUCUUCUUCAAGCUCCUCACGGUGGCGAUAAGUCUCUGGUGGAGGUGCUCUUGUUCCAAUUGUUUUUCCGGGACGAUGAAUGCAUCAUCAUCCAGACUGUUCUCUUCUUCGGAGACAGGUUGAUAAUUGGAGUCUUCGGCAUCGCUGUGAUCGGACAGGGGCCCCGGACGGUGUUUGCCAUCACGUUGCUCGUCCUGCUCCAUUCCUGGUCCGCAGUUUCUUCAUUGUCUUCAACAUCGUCCGGGGUGUUAUUCCCUCUUGUGCCGGUAACGCUAUUUUUAACAUGGCAUGGUUUCGAGCGGCGCCGCUGAGGUCGACGCUUUGGCUGCUUUCCAGGAGUUUUAUCCUCAACUAGGUCCUUUUUUCAUCGUCAUUGUCUUCUUUGGGUCUAUCCACCAUGUAUAUGUCGUAUGAGGAGGUGGCUAUCCAGCGCCCUAUGGGCGGUGGUUCUCUUUCUUCUCCGGCAUCGUCGUUCAAACCAUCGAUGUCUUCAGAGUCAAAAUCAAGCAUGUCGGUCAAAUCGUCGACAGUGUCUAUCAACUGGGUGGUGGGUGGGUAACGAAGUUCUUCGUCGUCCGCUUCCCACUCAAGCCGGACAUAGUUCGACCAAGAAUCUCCUGAUAAGGAGAGAGACUUUAAUGAGUUUAACACAUCGCCUAGGGGUGAGUGUUGGAAGAUGUUCGCGGAGCUAAACUCUAAGAUUGGCGCCAGGUCAGAUUUGAUGGGUGCGGAUACACGCAGUUCGGAGCCUAUGGCCGGAGACAAGUCCGAGGUUCCGAUGACACAAGCCUCGUUGGAGGUCGGAUCUGUGUUCGGCUCUAGCACGCUGAGUCUGCGGCCUCCGUGGCAAGGUUGAGCUUCCCGUCCUCAGAUGGCGCGCUUUGCUCUGGAUCUAGGGCCAGUGCGGUUACGGGCGCAAUCUCCUCCACACAGUCUGAUGACACAUUUAGGUCAUGUUCAUCAUGGCGGCAGGGCGUGGCUGUCAUGGGCUCGAAUCCGUCGAAGAUCAAGUCUCUGCGGAUGUCGGCAGUGUAGUUCAAGCUUCCAAACCUGACCUGAUGGCCAGGGGCGUAGCUGUCGAUCUGCUCCAGAUGGCCAAGCGAGUUGGCCCGCAGUGCGAAGCCGCCGAAUACGGAGAUCUGUCCGGGGAGAAAAACUUCACCCUAGACUAUGUUAUUGUAGAUGAUUGAAGGAGCCAUCAAGCCUUAUGGUGAUGACACAGUGGAACUCUCAAUGAAAGCACCAAUGUCGGUGUCAAAACUAGCGGAUCUCAGGUAGGGGGUCCCGAAUUGUGCGUCUAAGGCUAAUGGUAACAGGAGGCGGGGGACACAAUGUUUACCCAGGUUCGGGCCCUCUCGAUGGAGGUAAUACCCUACUUCCUGAUUGAUUGAUCUUGAUGAUAUGAGUAUUACAAGAGUUGAUCUACUACGAGAUCGUAGAGGCUAAACCCUAGAAGCUAGCCUAUGAUUAUGAUUGUUUUUGUCCUAUGGACUAAACCCUCCAGUUUAUAUAGACACCGGAGGGGGCUAGGGUUACACAGAGUCGGUUACAGAGAAAGGAAUCUUCAUAUCCUAACUGCCAAGCUUGCCUUCCACGCAAAGGAGAGUCCCAUCCGGAUACGGGACGAAGUCUUCUAUCUUGUAUCUUCAUAGCCCAACAGUCCGGCAUAUGCAUAUAGUCCGGCUGUCCGAGGACCCCUUAAUCCAGGACUCCCUCACACGCCAUGGGCCGCAGACAGGCAAGUCUGGGGACCCCCAUUCCCAGAACGCCGACAGCAGCCCCCGGGCCCAAGGCGCGCUCGAACUUGGCUUAGCGGCAAAGCCAAAGGGCAAGUGUAGAGCACUGCGGGCCCUAACAGCCUGCGGCCUUGGUCGACGCGUGGCGAUUGAUUAGACGUGGGCGUCCCCGCUUCCCCGUGCUGCCUCAGCAACUGCCCGACUGACAAAAGGCUGGCGUGGGCAGGGCUUGCCUUCAUUGCUUUCCUUCUUCUUGCUCCAGAUUCCCUUCCUUGCUCCUUGCUUCCGAAAUCUCCAGAUCCGCUUCGAUCCUUUCCCUUUCAGCGACUGAUGGCACCCCGCAAGGCCAAGGUUGAUGCGCCGCCAGCUUGGUACGCAUCGGCCCUGGACGCGCCUACUGUGUCGAAGAAGAAUCUCCCCACCACGCGCCUGCUGACGGCGGGGGAGAGCAAUGAAAAGGAGAAGACCGAACUCCGGGCUGGCUCUGCCGUGCCGGAGGCUCAGGGGAGCACUUUCUAUCCCUUCUUCACGAACGCCGUCAUCGCAGAACUAGUUCCCCACUUCUCCGACUUCUUCUACGCCGUCCUCCGCCAUUACAGGUUGCAGGCCCUUCAUCUCCAUCCCAACCCCAUUCUUCUCUUGUCGAUUUUCGCCUACUACUGCGAGGCCAUGUUGGGGUGAUACCGUCCGUGGCUUUGCUGCGCCACUUCUUCCUCCUCCAAACCAACAUCGACCACACCUUGGCGUGCGCCAAUUUCGUCGCGUACGGCAAGGCCAACGCAAUCUCGAAGGCGGGGAAUAGGGCCGAUGGCUUCCGGAGCAAGUGGGUCAUGAUGGAUGCCAAGUGUGUCUACCCCCGGUUGGCGCUGCCAACGGAGAUGCCCCAGUCUAACGAAGGGUGGUCUCGCACGAAGCUCACUGACGAUCGGGCGACGUUGGUGCUAGAGAGGAUGAACGCUGACCUGAAGCCGGGCAACGCCAAGGCGGCGAAGCUGAUGGGGGCCGCGCUCCUGAGGGAGUUCUUGAUGCAGCGGGUGGCUCCGCUUCAGGCGCAUUCACGCCCCUUAUGGAUGCUUGGGGGUGCAGACGACAAGCUUUGCGUGAAUCCGGUGGCUCUGGCUGAUGAGGAGCUGGCCGCAGCUCUCCGCCUCUUGGUCGGGACGACCAGGAGUAUCUGCCGAGUGCCCCUAUCCCCUUGUUCCUCCGCAAGGAGAGGGCGUAGGUGGUGGCUGCUAUGCCCGCCUUUGAUGGGCGCGGCCUGGUGCCGCCGGCGCCCCUUGAGGUCCGGGGGGCAGCGGUGUUAGUGGAUGUAUCUUUGGGUGACUCCCGCAGAGGAGGAGGAGAGGAGGAAGACGAGGAGCGCGACUCGAAGGCGACCCUAGAGGGGACGGGGGAGACCUCCCCCUCGCGCAGGGCCGACAUCCUCUGCACCUUGCCAGACGACACACAAGAGAAGGAGGAUCCACCCGCGAUCCCGACAAAGGGCAGGUCGGUGAUGAUCUCCCGAGGGGUUGCUUCUGCCCAGACGCCGCCUGGAGCCGCUUCCAGCCCUUUUGCUGUGCCUUCUCCUGCUCCUGGAGCCCUUGCGUCUGCGCCCCGGGCCGCGAGGCUCUCGGGCUUCAAGCUGAGCAAGAGGAAGGUGGACUACACCACGGUAGACCAGUAAGUGUUUGUGCUCCAUCUUUUUCUUGAUUAUGCUGAUGGUCCUUGACGUUCACCAUCGAUUGGGUAGGCCGCUGCCUGCGGCGAAGAAGAGGAAGGAGGACGCGGUGACGCUGUCAAGGGCCGAUCCAUCUGCCUCAGCUGCACCUUCUUCCGUGGGGAGGGGAGGCGACGGCGUUCGCACCUCCCCUGCCCAGUCAUCCUCGCGAGGCCCGGGAGAGCGUCCUCAUGAAGAGUCAGCCCCUAUGGCCCCGCUAGCUCCGGAGGUGCCGUUACUCAACGCUGCUGCUAAGAUACCCAAGGCUCAGGAGCCCCCGACUCCCAAGCCCUGGCUAUGGUGCCGCCUCCUCCUUCUACCGCACCGCUGGUUCCAGGUCCUUCUGCCUACCCUGAUGUCUUGGAACGUGCCCUUUCUGAGAUGGCCCAACUACGAGAAGACCUCCAGGGCGCCGACUCCCAUCUGGUAGCCGGUCGUCUGGAGCUGGUUUCUGGCUGGCUUCACUUUGACGCCUCUGUCCGAGUGGCACUGAGGCAGGUCGUGGCAGCCUCUGAGGAAGAGUAGCGGGCCACCACCCAAGCUGCAGCAGCUCGUGAGGUGGCGCUGAAGGAUGAUGUGGCCGCCCAAGACCGCAGCAAGGCACUGGAGGCUGAGCUGAAGGAUUUGCGUGACAAGCACGCCAAAGAAGCUCGUGACCAUCAGAUGGGGGAGGAGAGGAUGAAGGCUCCGGAGGACACCGUCAGGGGCUGCGACGCCGAGCUAGCACGGUUCAUGGAGGUGCAGGCCACUGAGCGCGGCCGGCUGGAAAAGCUGGAGCAGAAGGUGAGGGCGAAGGAGGCCUAACUCGACGCCAAGGUGAAGGUCCUGGCCGAGGACCGCGCGGCCUUUGCACUCCUCGAGGAGAGGUCUCACGUGGCGCUGAAGGUACUCUACGAGAAGGGCCUGGAGAAGCCGCUGACUACCAACGAGGAGGGCCCCGCCCAACUACUUCCUUACUUGGUCGAGGCGCUUGAGGAGGUCAUGAGCGACAUCGGCCCCAUGGCAGAGGAAGAAGCUUGCGUCCUUUCUUCCGCUGCACUGACGCGCGUCUUCAGCCACCUCCACCUCCGUGAACCUGAUGCCAAUUUUAAUGAGCUACUGGAGCCUGUGAACGGCGAGUCCUACGCCGCCGCUGCUGAGGUCGUGAAGGGCCAGGUGGAGGCCUUGUUGAAGAAGUUCCGUGCCUUCGAUCCCGCGCCCGUAGUCGGCAGUGCUGCUGAUCCUAUGGCCCCGGGUGGUGGCCCAGGCGAAGGUGAUGCCACCACGGGAGUGGAGUCCCUGGCGGGCGACGGCGAUGUCAAAGGGUGAUGGCUUCUUUCCUGCUUAAUUCCUGCAAUGUGCACCAUGCCUCGUGGAGGUGUUUAAACUUGCGUCUGGUAUUGUGAAGACAAUUAUGGUUUGUAAUAUUUGCUUCGAGAUUUUGCAGUUUCCUUCUUAUUUGCUUUAUGUUCUACGUCGGCAGGGCGCGACCCCGCGCAUACCUCAACUGCCGUUGGCCCCGAUCGGAUCGCCAGGACGGGACCAAGGAGUGAGGGGCUACGUGACCAGUUAGGCUCCUGAGUCGCGAUGCUCAGGAGUUCCCCUUGACGCGCAAAUAACAAAUAGGGAGGGAAUGUAGGAGUAGAUCUGGCGUUCUACGUCGGCAGAGCCCGGCCCCGCGCAUACCUCAACCACCAUUGGCCCUGACCAGAUCACCAGGAUGGGACCAAGGAGUGAGAGGCUACGUGACCAGUUAGGCUCCUGAGUCGCGAUGCUUAGGAGUCCCCCUUGACGUUCAAACGACCUUCGUACCUUGGCUCCACUCGGGGAGGGGCGCACGACGACCAGGUCCGAAGGACCUGGCUGGGUGGCAUACGCUCGGGCGUGACCUGGGCACAGCCCCCUCGCGCGACGCUCCCGAGGGGAGGUGUUGCGAUGAGGCCAGACACUGAGCUCUGGGGCUCCCUGAGGUUGAUACGGCCGUGGGGCCGCCCUCAGUUGUUUAUCACCAGCGUGGAGCAUAGCGCUUCCGUAUGUGUAUGAGCAUAGCCGCUCAUCGGCAGUGUCGUCUCCCAGCGCGAAGCAUGGUGCUUCCACUGGUGCGUGGGAGGGGGCUCCAUCUGAGGAGAGCCCCCGGGGCGUGUACAUCCCCGCCCUGACACGUGGCUUGCACGACAGGGCUAAACGAGGUGUAUAGGGGCACUCGUGAGCCAGUGCAGGACUCAUGAGGCCCUACCUCAAGGAGGGUUACGCCUGGUCUUGGGUCUUUGAUAGCUGUGUGUUCCUGCGAGACGAUCACGGCCCUCAGGUCCUGGCCCUCGAGCGAGCUCAGCCGCCACUGGUAUGCCAGGUUGUGAUGCCGUGGUCAAGUCCAGGGGGUGAGGGCUGGAGAGCCAGCAAGAGCUCCUGAGUCGCGAUGCUCAGGAGCCCCCUUUUAACGCGCAAGCGAAUUGCAUGAGAGAGGGUGGCAAUCGAGCAGGUGACAACCAUAGAUAGAUUAGGCAUGAAAGGCAGAUCAGCUUAGGUAAAUGCAGAAUGGAUACACGCCACUGGGUCAGACUCAAGCGGCUUGGGGAUCAUGCAGCCCGAGGGGCGCCCCCAUCAAGGUAAGCUAAAGACAUAAAAAGAGAUAUGUCGCAGGGACGGACCCAUGUGGCCUGGGAAUGAUGCAGCCCUGAGGGUGCUUCCAGCUGAAAUGAACUUGGGAGAUAUCACCUGGUUCCAUUGUAGAGGGGGUGUUGGAGCAGCUGAAGAUGCAUGGUGAAGGGGCCGACCCUCACGAGCCGCCAAGGCCCUGAGCCUCAGGAGGCUCUGGGGGUCCAGGUGGUUCCUUGAGGACCGUCUCCAUCUCUGCUAGGAUUGCGUGGUGCCAGGCCUCCUGAGCCGCCAGGAUGCUCCACAGGUGACGCUGGUAGGUGGCAGCCGCGUUCGGUAGGCCGAAAGGCAUGUGAACAUAGCUGUGCGACGGACCCUCGCAGCGUCCCACGCGCGAAGGCCAGGAGCACUCCUGAGAUGCGGUUCGGUUGAGCCCUGGGACAUCGAUGCAGACACGCAACCCACCAUCCUCGCCUGGAUGGGGGGACACACCGGGCGAGCGGCGGUUGCCGCGCAUGGCCCUCGCUUCCUGAAGCUCCUGAGUGGUCUUGGCAAUGAACUCCUAAACAUUGGGGUUUCCAUGCCCUGUGUCUUCCUGAGGGAAACGUGCCACGAAGCAUGCCUCCAAGUGGUGCCCGAGUGCCUCCCUCGUGAUGUUGGCGAGGUCUGAGGCCCUCCAGAAGAGAGCCCCCGAGCCCUUGCCCGAGGAGGGCGCCGGGCGUGCCUUCCUAUGCGAUGAAAGGAGGCGCCCCAAGCAUGGGCGCUGAUCCUGACACGGCACUACCCGAGAUGCCGACCUCUUGAGGCCUUGUGCGGAGUGGUUGCUUCUUCUUCUUGGGGAUGGCCUUAGGAGGGUUCUCGCCCUUGCUGUCCGGGUCCUAGAUUGCUGCGGCUUGGAAGGCACGCUCGAGGGAGCACACUGCAUCUCUCUCUUUGCAGGGGACCGUGAUGAUCCCACCGCUUCCUGGCAUCUUGAGGACGUUGUAGCCGUGGUGGGUCACUGCCAUGAACUUGGCCAUGGCUGGAUGCCCGAGGAUGGCAUUGUAUGGCAGGUGGAUGUGGGCAACGUCGAAGUCGAUGAGCUCAGUGUUGUAGUUGUCGCGCUGCCCGAAAGUGACAGGGAGGUGGACCUGCCCUAUCGGGGUGGUGGAACCGUCAGUAACUCCUGAGAAAGGCUUGGCAGGUUGGAGCUGAUCGUAUGGCACUUGAAGGUUGUCGAACAUCUCAACGGACAGGACGUUAAGCCUUACGCCACCAUCGAUGAGGGUCUUGGUGACUUGCAUGUUGCUGAUGAUUGGUGAACAGAGCAUUAGGAGGACGCCAGCAGUAGCCGCACACUUGAGUUGAUCUGCUGAGCUGAAGGUGAUGGUGCACUUGGACCACCUGAGCGGGCAUGUGGCUUCGAGCCUGGGGAGGACUGCGUUCACCUCACGAGCAAACCGCUUGAAGAUGCGCUGAGAGGCUGGGGCUUGAGCUCCGCCUAAUAUGCAAGCGAUAGCACGUGGCUCCUGGAAGCCCCCAGCCCCCUCGUCCUGAUGAUGGCCGUCAAUCCUUCUUGGCAGCGUCGGCAGCGGAGGAAGGCCCACAUUGCCCUGGGGGCGGUCCUCGCGAGACUGAUCCCUCCAGGCGCCCUCGCGAGGCUUGUCCCUCCAGGCGCCCUCGCGAGGUCGGUCACGCCACUCCUGGCGAGGGCCACGGUCGUCCCAUCAUCCUCCGCCACGUCCUCCUCCUCGGUCGUAGCCCCGGUCGUUGCACUCGGGGCAUCGACCAAAGCGUCCUUCUCGAACGCACUGAGCUCCUGGCAAUCGUUGGUGUUGUGGGUGUGGAGGUUGUGGUAGGCGAAGGACGGUCGGCUGCCCUUGGACGACUCCGGCUGGUCCCUGCCGCCCUUCGUGUCUGGUUCCGCUACGAAUAUGGCUACUCCCUUGCGCUUCACGUCCUUGGCCUUGGUGUUCUUUUCUUCUGGGUCAGCAGUUGGGAGCUCGAGGAGGGAGAGGCGUCCCUCCUCAGCUCUUCAGCACUUGGUCGCCAGGUUGAACAGCUCCAGGGAUGUGCACAACUCCUUGUGGAUGGCAAGCUCCUCCAUCUUGACGCAACGGACGCCAUCAGAGAACACUGAGAUGAUGGCCUCGUCCGUCACCUUGGGGAUCUUGAGGCGGACGCUAUUGAAGCGCUGGAUGUAUUUCUACAGGGUCUCCCCGGGCUGCUGCUUGAUGCGGCGCAGGUCACCCGCGGCCAGGGGGCAGUCAUGAGUGCCCUAGAAGUUGGCGAUGAAGCGGCUGCGCAUCUCAUCCCAGGAGGAGAUCGAGCCAGGAGGCAGGUUCAGGAGCCACGAGCGGGCGCCGUCCUUGAGCGCCAUGGGAACCAAUUCUCCAUGACCUUCUCGUCGCCUUUGGCCGCCUCGAUGCUCAGCUCGUAGAGCUGCAAGAACUCCACGGGUUCGGGGGUGCCGUCAUAGCGAGGAGGCAGAUCGGGCUUGAACUUUCCCGGCCAGGCGACGCUACCUGGCUCAGGGAUGAAAGCAUGACAGCCUGUCGUGGUCACUGGGGCCCGUUGCUGACGCAGAACUUGCUCUUGAUGGUACCCGCGCACCGCUGCCAUAGGCAGUACGCGGUCUUGUCGCGCAGGUGCAGGGAGCACGGGGGCGCCUUCUUGAGGCCGAGGGAUUUCUUGACAGCUUCCUCCUUCUCGCGCGGGCGCCGGACGCGGUGGGUCACGCCCAUGGGCUGCGCGCCUUGGCGCCAGGGUGCUGUCUUGGGGCAGAGGUGGUGGAGGCGCUCCUUGAGCCACGUCGCCCAUACCUGGCGGAGGGCGAGGCAAUGAGAGGGACGGCGUGAGAGAGCCCCCUGCGGUGCUGACGAGCUCGGUGAUGCGAGCGAUCCAUUCUUCGUAGAGGUCGUCGACGGGGCGGUAAAGCAAGAGCUCACAUGCCAUGAGCAGUGCGGCCUGCGCGUCCGUGGGGGCACGACGAGCGUGGGAUGAUGAACCGGCUGGGGUCAGCGACGGAGUGGCCGUGCGGCCGUCCCGCCGCACCGAGGGGUGCAUCGAGGAUGCUUGCUACUCGUUCCCCAUCGGGCCGGUGGUGGCGUUGGCGGCGUUGGCGGCAGUCGACGAUGAACGACGGGGAGGCCUGCCGACAAGAGCCGUCUGGGCGACGCGAGCGGCGAGAGCGGCCUGGCGCUCGACGCGGGCUCGGUGGACGUCAGACAUGGAUGCGACAAAGCGAUGGGACAGGGAUCAGUGGAAGGAAGACUUAGGCGCACCCCUACCUGGCGUGCCAAAUGUCAGAUUUAGGGUUCCGGCAAAACCCUUAAGGUUCGAACACUGGGGUGCGCAUGAAGAUUUCCCCCUACCGAAUCUCGCUCUCAGCCUCGUCGCGAUAUCUAAGCUUAGCUGGAUGAACUCACAACAUAAGAGACACAAAUUUAUACAGGUUCGGGCCACCGUUGUGGUGUAAUACACUACUCCUGUGUGGUGGUGGUGGAUUGCCUCUUGGGCUGAUGAUGAACAGUACAAGGGAUGAACAGCCUCCCGAGGAGAGGUUUUCUUGUGCUUGGUGGGUUGCUUGGGGAAGAAUCGAUGAUUCGAUCCGUCCCCUUCUACUGUGGUGGCUAGCCCUAUUUAUAGAGGCCCUGGUCCUCUUCCCAAAUAUUGAGUGGGAAGGGAUCCAACAACGGCCAAUUUGAAAGGGGAUAGCUAGUACAAGCUAUCCUGACUAAAGGUGGUCUUCGCCUAUCAAAGGCGCUGGUGGUGACGCUGUCUUGGGCUCCACGAUGACCUCCAUCCUGCCGUCCUGUUGGUCUUGGUAUUGUUGCACCGAUAUGGAAACUUUUGCCUGAUGCCUCGGUACUCCGUGCCUGCGCUUGCCCCCUAGCACCAAAGGGGAAACAAGGACACCGUGCGGACUGGCACCCGCCUGGUGCCCACCUGGCCUUGGUCGUCAUGGCUUGUGUCACAGGAACCUCACGAGGUACCCCUUGCCUUGAUCUCUCCGUCCCCUCGCGAGCCUGCCUGGUGAGCCACUCCUGAGGAGGCCUUGUGUCGUCCGCCCCGCGAGGCUUGGCCCCUCGCGAGGGUCUUGACUAUUGGUUGACGAAGACGGGCCAUACUGGGCCACUAGUGGAGCCAUGCCAUGGGCCCUAGGUAGGCAAGUCUGGGGACCCCCGUUCCCAGAACACCGACAAACGCACACACGCACACCCUACCCCUAUGAGCACCUCCGAAAGAUUGAGCCGACACUAUCAUUUUGAAAUUUAUGAAGUCACCAUAGGCACCUCAUCGUCGACGGGAACGUCCCCUGAUACACGAUAGACGUGAGUGGCAGUCGCCUCCAUAGGUGCUUGAAUGCCAAGGAGGGAGAGGGUAGCGGUUCCCGAGACGUUGAACGGUCAAUGAUGCAUCCUCAGUUACAUGCAGAGGGAAUUAAUUGGAGAAGCAGAAUAGAGCCAACACGAUAUGAAUGCAACAAAGUGUGGACUCUCACAUAAAGGCGCCCCACCACUCCAACCUAUCUACUCCUAAGUCUUUGCGCAACACUGCUCACUCCAAUCCAAGACCAAGCGACCAGAAGCCACAAGCACCUAUGGAGGCGAUGGACGCGAGCGGCAGUCGGUUGUGCGAAAUCAUCCAAGGCGCCGGCCUGUGGCCCCGCACCGCGUAGAUUUUCCAGGCGGUGCUGCCGACCGCCGGCAUCGUAGCCCUCGCCGAUGCCGGCUUCUCCUCUCGCAUGGACGACAUGAUGGUCAACUCCAUCCGCAAGUUCACCACCGUCAAGAAGCGCGUGGACGACCUUGCCGUACUGCUCCAGCCUGCGUGCCCAGGCUCCUCAUUGCCUGCCACCCUCAUUGGCCUCCAUGGUGACAAACUCUUUCAAGCCCUGGUGGCCCUGCAAGUGCCGGAGGUCACGACGAACAAUGUGCACCUCGAGACCACGCUCGCCGCGCAGCGCCUCGCCAUGCAAGAAACCGUCGACCUGCACAUCCAUGUCUACGAGGAAAUCGUCUACAUAGGCCACUACACGGCAAGCGAGGACAGAAAGACGUUGGCCUUCUUCCAGUGGCUGGAAUCUUUGGACAACAUUGUUCAGAAGCACGUCGACCUGGCCACGAAAUCCGCUGCUACUUAGGCGCCGUUUGGUGGGCCAGCGCCCUGAGUCGAGGAGGUGGACGUCGUUGAUGGAUGCAUCUCUUCUUCUUGCCUCCUGUAACCAGCACUGCAUCGCCUCGUGGCCUUAAUGUUUUAUUAGUAUAGUACUCCCACCGUUCCCAAAUAUAAAUAUUUCUAAAGAUUCCAGCUAGUGACUACUACAUACAGUGCAAAAUGAGUGAAUCUACACUCUAAACUAUGUCUACAUACAUCGGUAUGCUGUAUUCCAUUUGAAAUAGUAUCUAAAAAGGCUUAUAUUUAGGAACGGAGGGAGUAUAUGGCAUUUUUAUUCCAGUCGUAACGUUUUCACUAUGAGGUGGGGCCACAGUUGAGCAAACCCACCCUGCCCACCGGGCGUCGGCCGAGUUUAGAAUUACUAGAAGAGAGAAACGAGGGAGGAGAGCUCGCUGUAGCACGGACGCUAUUGUCAGAUGGGACUCGUGUUGAUAGAAUAGGAAUACUGAGCACUCGUACCUCUUUUUUGAGGGAAAAAAUAGUCGUAUGUCUAGUACCACUAGUUGGGUGCGUGCGACCUAUAGUUGUCAUCACUUUAGGUCUCCUUUUUGAACCGCAUCUACGCUUCACAGCACAUAUUUUUUCACGCAUUUAUUCUCCUAUAUGUACUCCUAGGCUAUUUCCACGUGCUCCCUUUCGCCGACAUGUGGGACAUAGAGCAUCUGGGUCGUAGUGCAUGCACGACUCGGAGCAUAUGCCGGGGUACUUUACAUUUCAGACCUCACGAAUUACAUGCAACCCCCCCCCCCACAGAAGAAUAAAUAAAUAAAUGAAUUACUACAUGGAACCGGAUUAUUUUUGUAGAAACCAGAGCACACUCAUUAAAUUUCAGACAUAACACGUUUAUAAAAAAUGACCGGACCUAAACCAGUCUAAGGGCCUCUUUGAAUUUCCCCGCAAAAAAGGGCCUCUUUGAUUCGCAGGAUAUUGAAAACACAGGAAUGAGGAAAGUAUGAUGGCGAUGAACCGAGAUGAGGAGAACUCUAACUCAGUUAGAGGUUAGAGUUAGAUUCUAACCCUAAACUGAUCCUGGACUAACUCUAAACCAAAGAGGUGUAUGGAUGGUAGGGUUAGAUUGACAAUAAAUGCUCUUUCUCAAACAUUUGACUACUUUGGACCCUAUUUCCUGCCGGAUUUGGUGUGGCCGGCUGUUGUGUGGCCUCCUCCCACUCACAAUUGACAUAAACGAGCCAUCUUUACAAAUCAAGCAUGCAAAACAUGAUAAACUUUACUUUAUCCAUACAAAUGAGAUAUCCCACUUAAACAUACAAGUCGUCAAUCAAGCUUCACAAAAAAAAACAC